rnacentral:lncRNA from 1 species
CUGUUAAAACUAAAAGUUACACACAUUCUAUACACAACUCUGUUAUUAGAUCAUUGAUCCCAUCCUCAACCCUAAAAAAAGCUCUUGAUUUUUGAACAUAUAUCCCAACCAUUUUCAAAUCCACUAGGAUCGGCAUGAGACAGAUGUUCUAAGCAACUACUCUGUUUCUUUCUAAAUAAUGUUGCCUCCAUCCAUUUUCAAAUCCUCUAGAAUAAGCAAGCCUCCAUCAAAAAACACCAAGAGCCAUUAAAGGCAAAUGAGCUCUACUUGAUCUCUAUCAAAAAGACAACAAUAAUCAACUGAGUAACAAGCAAACAAGCUCAGCUAAGAUGUAGUAUUUUGGGAGGAGAAACAAAAAAACAAACUCAAUUGCAACCAUCACAAACCAGAAACAACAAAAGAGUUGUAGUUAAAAAUAUAUACAACAACUUAACCUAAAUCCACAAACUCAUCUUACUACUAAUUAUACAACAACACAUUCCUCGUUCCUAACUUGUCACAAUUUCAGAGACUUCAAUUGAAAAGUGAGAGAUUAAAAAAAUUGCCAUUUGCACCACACGCAUUGCCCCCAUCUCAAACAACAACCUGGCAAUCUCUUGACCCACCGGCCAAAGUACCCAACCCGCCUUUCGACGAAAGAGAAACCGCCACGCCACGGCACAAAACCCUCGAGAGCCGCCGCCUCAGCCUCCACCCACUUCUCCUAAACUCAACCCUAGCCAAAAGCCUCACGUUGAAGCUCACGCUCCCACGCGCCUCGUCUGCGUCGAUGCCGAGGGCAACCGGAGCGCCAACGAACGAAUUCGCCGCCAACAAAGUCGCGAUGACAGACGUCCGAUCCUUAGUCGCCUGAGCGAACGGCGGAAUUAGACGCCCUUGUGCAUUCCUAAUAACAAGACUCGAUGCCGAAUCACCAUUUGAUAAAACAUAACCGUCAAAAUUGAUUUAAUGUUAUCCUUUUGUCAUUCUCUUAUAAACCUGAAAAAUAUAAUUUUGUGAUAAUUUAAGAUUUACGUAUUGAGUUAUCAAUCCAUGGUGGAGCCGCCAUGGUCUUUAUCUGUAAGGUCUCCACGGUGUAACCCACCCUUGCUGAAAAACCGUCCACAUGGCGUCCUUUGGGGGUAUAUUGCUUUCAUGGUAAGAUGAUGACGACCGUGCUAUAAGGGUAAAGUUGGAAUAGAACUUGUAAAAUAAUAUAAAUAAGUACUUUUUAGACAUUUGAAGCUGUUAGGAAGUUUUUUUAUUUAUAUAUAUAUUUUUUCAAAAAGAAGCCAAUGGUCAGACUAUUGUUUGCGUUUAAAUAAAGAUAUUUUAAAAUUUUAUUAUUAAAAAAAAGAAAAGGUGUUAAAUUUUAAGAUAUAUUAUAAUAAUAAUAUUUUGAAACAUUUUUUUUUCUCUAAAACAAAUAUAAUAUAGUAAAUGGAAUAGAAAUGGGUUGGCCGCUGGGUCUCGGUCAACAUGGGCUAUGACGGUGAGCUUGCAACGAUCGAAUUACCUUGGUCCUACUUGCCCAAAAAUAUAAGACGUGUCAGCCCACAAGGUGGGAGGACUGGGCGACUGCACAUGGCCCCUAAAAUAACGGGACCUCCUACACACUUCCAGUCUACUAAGUAUACUAGCAAAAAAUGCUUUUUAUGUGUUGAAACUGUUGAUUUAAAUAAGUGAAAUAAAAUCCUAAUCUACUGUGGCUGCACAUAAAUAGUAAGUUUCCAAUAAAAUAUUUUAUUAUAAUCUUGUAAUUGUAAUCCAAAUCAAUAAAAUAUUAUACUUAAUGACAAGACCCGCCCCGGAAUUUUCCCAAAAUCGAGGCGAAUCCCGUCUUUAUUCCGACAUCACCCCGAUGCCGGGCCCACUUACUAGAAACCGAGACUCUCUACCAAAAUUUUGGCAGAGUCUCCCCUAUGAAUUGAACAACCCAACAAAAUUUAACCUGCAUAAAAAUACAGAAUAAUCCCAACCAGCAGCAUGCUUUACAACGAAUAAACAGUUUACAACAAAAUGGCCUCCGGCCUCACAAUUCAAACCCUAACAGGGGCGAUAACAGAGCAUGUCUAAGAACUUCAAUUUCAACAAAACAGAGUACAAAGGAAAUAAUAGGAAGAAAGAGUCCUACGAUGACUCAAGGCUCGGAAGCUCACGAUCCGGCUCUGCUGCGGAGUUCAGUCAACUACUGGCUGGGGGGCGCAAAACAGAAAAUUGUGAGUGGACAAAAAUAAAUUCAGUUCAGUGUAAACCAACGUAAUAUAACCCCAUCGUUUAGAAAACCAUGCAAGAAAUCCCAUGCAUCUCAAAACCGUCAUACUCAAGUAUCUACAUAUAUAUAUAUAUAAUAUAUCAAAACCAAUCAAUACCAGAUGCCAAGUCCAAAAUCCAUAAAAAACGCUUUACAAAACCUGCCAUCCAAAACUUAUAAAUCCCACAACCAAACUCUCGAAAGUGUACCCAUUGGCACGACCGGCAAGGAAGUAUCCACACCGAGAAACAAGAAUGAAUGAAUAGAUAUAAAUAUAUAAUAUAAGAGAGAUAUAUAUAUAUAUAGUAUAAAUAUAACCAUCACCUAGUUGUACCAGGGAAACAAUCCAACCGGGGGAUUGUUUGACUAGUCACCCUGGCAGAGUCCUCGUGAUGAGUCCUCAAUCCACCAUGUGACUAGGGAACGAGCCGUCCAACUGGGGGACCAACUCUCAGCCAGAACGUACCGUCGAUAACCUCAAAACCCGUACGUCUGUGAACAGUCCUACGCGCGCAGACUACCCAAUUAAGGGUCUACAGCAACAUCCCGUCAAGGAUGCCCCGGGUCCCGACAAUUCCAAGUAUCUCAAGUCUCCGUAUCCAAGUUCCACAUCAGGGGAGCUACAUAAGGUAGUGCUUACCGCACACCAAACUGACAUUCUAUACUCACCACUUUCCACAAUCUCAUCUCAACAACCCAAGUACCUCACACAUAACCAAAUAUAUAUAGAAAUCCCCAAAAUCCAUAUAUUCAUACUCAAGAUACUCAAAUACGUCAAAACCCAAAAUAUAUUUUCAAUGCCUCACAAAAAUAUCACUUUCAACAAUUUCAUAAAUAAUAUAUCCCCAAAAUACCAUUUAAAACAUCAUGCAUAAUAUUUCUCAAAAUCUAUAUAAAAUAUACUUUCAAUACCCAACUAUGCCAAAGCCGCAAUAUUUUACCAAAGCGCUAUAAAAACAUCAAGUUCAACUCAUGAAUAUAAUAUAUUCAAUAAAUCAUUAAAAACAUUAUGCGUAAAUCUUUCACCAAUAAAACCAUGCAUAAGAUUUGAAAACAAAGUCCACUCACAAGUACUCCCACGCUGCUUGACCCUGAGAGGGUCCCGCCUGCUGUGUAAGCAUAGUCGGAGUACCUAAUUCAGAAUACGUAUACGAGAUUAAUACGAAACGUUUGGAACGAGUACUUUAAAUUAAAUAUCCUAAUUUCCCAGGUCUCUAGUAAGUGUACUAGGAACGAGACGUUCUAAGGUCCAACUACUCAAUUUGGACGAUGGAACAACCUCGGGAGACACUCGGUCAACCAGCGGUCAAACUUCCCAAUUUGGGUCAACCGGGCCCACGGGACCCACGACCUCCGUUUUACAAUCCGAAAGUUCCUAAAGGUUUCACAAGGUCUAAGAUAACCGUCCCGCAAGUUUAGUCCGAAACGGACGGUUAGAUCGCUUACGAUCGCACGAUCGGACGAUUAUUAUAAAACACAAACUUUAAGUUAUUGAAUCGGAACAUCUGGGGUUCCGAUUCACGAUCCGCGAAUUCCUAUACGAUCCUAGGAAUACCUAGAACAACAUAUUUUAAUUCGGAAAGGAUCUAACGGUCGGAACCUAUCGAACUCAGAUAACGCACAAUAUGCGAAAAUCCGUUCGAUAGUCAAACGAUGUCCGAAUUGAGAUCCGCAAAAUCCUACGUGCUCGUGACAACAAGGAGAUCGCAUUGGGACAAAUAUGCCCCUCUGCUACAGUGCCCACGCGCCGCCACACGCGCGGGCAGCGUGUGGGUGUCCAAAGCGAUAAGGCUUCGUCGGAAAAACUCAACCUCUCGGCUCAAGAUUCCUACCCUAGGUACAACACCCUAUUUGGAGUCACUUUUGUUCUUGGGCCUACCCCAAAAAGUGAUCGGAAGUGGCCGAAAAUAAACUCCCAAAAUCGGCAGAAUUUCAAAUUGAAGAUCAGCUAUCCUAGGCUCAAAAUUAACGAAAUCCUAUCCAACCAUCAGCUAGAGCAUGGAAAAUAGGUAGAAAACCAUACCUUACUCGUCAAAUUUGGUGGAGAAAUGAGGGAGAACGAGCGGUUUGAAAAUCUGUGAAAACCGGCUCGUUUUUCUGCAGAUUCCGGCGACACCAGCAGCUGCCGAGGUCGGGGAUGGAGCGGGAUGGAAGGAGGAGGAGCUGGCGGUUCUUUUGGGACCGGUACCACCCCAAACGGUGGCCGGUGAAGGCUGUGGUGGCUCUUGGAGCCACCGGCUGUGCAGAAAAAAAAAACGGGAAGGGGGAGCUGCUCGCGGGAGAGAGAGAGAGAGAGAGAGAGAGAGAAGUCAGAUAUUUUAACCCAAACUUUGAAAUAUUUACGGUUUUGCCACUGUCGAUGUUUUGCCCGUAACUUCUUCGUUACAACUCCGAUUCAAGCCUACCGCGUGUCUACGAAUUCGUCUCAGUACCACCUACCCAAAAAUAUCAGUCACUACCCCAAACACCUUUCGGGCAAGAAAAUGACCAAUUUACCCCUACCCUAAGGGUAAAUUCGUAAAUUCACUUAAAUAACUUAAAAUAGGAAUUAAAUUUAGAGUCGGGGUGUUACACUUAAUUUAAAUUUCGAUACACCACUUGUAGUUUUCUAUUAAAAAAUUAUAAUCUUGCUUUGGUUAUGUUUUUUUUCCUGAUUUUUGUGGUAUAAUUAAAAACUAACUUAUCAUUAAAUUGCUAUAAAUAUGAAACUAUAUAGUCAAAAUUGACGGAAUUGAAACUACAGGAUCAAAAGUGGUUGAAGUGCCAAACUAUAGGGACUAAAAGUGACUUUUAGCCAUAAUUGAAUUGCAUUAUCUUCCUCAAGUCUUCGUCUUGCAUCAAGUAUAUAUAUAUUGGACCGGACAUCAUAUUUUCCAGAUAGGGCUCAACUCCAUCACCAUCAUUUUGGGAUGAUGUGAGGUAUAUUUGAUUCUAUCUCCGCAUAAUACCAUGUACGGGCAUAUUCUUUCAAGUGAACUUGCAAAUAGCCCAAGUUUUGUUGAAAACGCGGACUCUGAAAAUUUCUAUGAUUUACAUAGAGAUAGCUCACUGGAAAUAUAUUUACUUACUCAACUACGAGAAUUGUUAAUGGCUACAUCCUCCACUCACUCCGAAAGAUUCUCACUCCAAAAGAUAGUCAUGAAGACAUCAGGAGGAGAUAUUAAUCAGGGGGAGCAUCCAGAAGUAUGCUAUACAAAUUGUUGUACUCUUCCUUCCAUCAGUUUUCUACCUCACUAGGUUUUCUCCAAGCAAGUCUUUAAUGAUGCAACUAACAUAUCACAUGUGGUCUUCAAGGGGGAGUGUUAUAAAAUAAAUGAAGCCCACAUAGGUAAAAUUAAGUGGGAAUUAGUGGAGAUAAAGCUAGUAGGUAUUAGUCAAAAGAUGGGAUAAUGAUGUUGGGGAUAAAUCAUUAUGUCUCCAUUAAGAGCCAUUUGCUUUGCCUAUAAAUAGGCAUUAUAUUUGCUUGUAAACACACAUAUAGAAGAGGAAGAGAAGUAAGAGUGAGGAAAGAAAGAAAGGAAGAGAAGGAAGAAUGAGGGUGAGUGAGUUGAGAGGAAAGAGAGCAAGAGAGGAAUUCUCCAAGAGAGAAAAUUGAGUGAGCCAUACAUAUUGUAAACACUAAAGUUGUAGCCCUAUUAUCUUACAUAGUGAAAAGUUACUAUUGCUGCUCUCCGAGGACGUAGGCAUAGCCGAACCUCGUUAAAUACUGUGUCUCAUCUACUUUACGUGCAGCUCAAUAUUCGCACAUAUCUCAGUUAUUUUACAACACGUUAUCAGCACGAGAAGCUCUCAGGUAUAAUUUUUGUGCUGCACUAUUAUUUAUACUACUAACCAUUGUAUAUAUAUAUAUGAAAAGUUGAUGGUAAUAUAAUAUGCUAUAUCUAUUCACUUUUCUAUUACUAACCACUAACAAAAAUGGACCCUUGAUAAUACUAAACAUAUUAUCAGUGGGAGACCGUUACUAAUACUAACAUUUUUCUUAUUUUAUUCGGUGGUGGUUUUAACCCCAUAUUUAUUUUAUUUACUGUAUGGUGUAGGUUUAUUACCCAUACAAGCGCGUUUACUUUAUCGCAAAUUUACUUUUACUUAAAGUAUGAUGUGGAAUUAACCCUCAUACUUUAUGAAAUUUACUUUACCGCACAUUUAUUUUAUUUACUGUAUGGUGUAGGUUUAUUACCCAUACAACAGUAUUUAUUUAAAAGGGUGGUGCGGGUUUAUCGUCCACGCCUUUACUUUUAUUUAAAUGUAUGGAGCAGAAUUAGUGCCCAUACAAGCACGUUUACUUUAUCGCAAAUUUACUUUUACUUAAAGUAUGAUGAGGAAUUAACCCUCAUACUUUAUGAAUUUACUUUACCGCACAUUUAAUUUUAUUUAAGAUAUGGUGCGGAAUUAACGUCCAUGUAGCAAGUAAUUUAUUUUAUCGCACAUUUACUUUUACUUAAAGUAUGAUGAGGAAUUAACCCUCAUACUUUAUGAAUUUACUUUACCGCACAUUUACUUUUACUUAAAGUAUGAUGAGGAAUUAACCCUCAUACUUUAUAAAUUUACUUUACCGUACAUUUACUUUUAUUUAACAUAUGGUGCGGGUUUAUCGUCCAUACAAGCAAUUCAUUUACCAAUAAUUUAAUUUACAAGCAAUUUAUUUUAUGGAUUAAUUGUGUGGUAUGAUGAGUUUUUUUUUUUACAAGGAUACAGAUCAGAACCAGAAGUUUCUUGAUCCUCAUCAUACAACUGCAUCAGGACUUGAAGAUCCUUGAUGAUGAUAUUGAUAUGAGAGCUGACAGUCUCUCCAGUACUAUAUUUGUUAACAUAUGAUCGGACUUGAGGGUCCUUGAUUCUUGAUAUGUAAAUAAGGACCUGGGGUUCCUUAAAUGAUGUAACAGUAUUAUAUUGGUUAAUAGUGUCGUACACAUGAAAAUAACUGUAUUGGCAAAUGUAUUGUAUACAUGAAUAGUGCCAUAUACAUGAAUAGUGAUGUAUGCAUAAAUAUUUACCAUUUUGGGUAAACUGUCACUAUUCAAAAAGGGAACCUGCAGUUCCUUAAACUCAUGGAUGAGCAAUUAAAUGAGAUGCCAGAAGUUCCUCAAGAUAUGGACAAUUAUGUAAGGGCUUGAAGUCUAGAAAUAUGUGCAGAAAAUUGUAAAAAUGUCCAUACCAUGAGAAUAUGUGAUUUUGGCUUGAGGUUCAAAAUCUAACAGUGUUGAGAACCUGAAGUUCCAACAAUUAAAUGGACAACCCUUGAGGUAUUAUUGCAAAUUGUGGUACGCCACAUAUUUCUUUGGCAUAAGAGAAUGAUGAAUUUAAUAAAGUUCGAUUCUGUUAUAAUCGACACCUCAAGGAAGAAAUAUAUUUUGUGAAUUCCGGUUGUUAAGAAUACACCGUGAAAUGGAUAAUAUCAGUAUAAACCUCAAAUGAUGAAUUGAGGCUUCCCACAUAUUUUGUUAUAUCUGGGCCGGAAGCACAUGGAUUCAAAUAUAUGAGAAAUCCCGAACUUGAGGUUGUGGGUAUAUAAUAGUUAAUGCUCUUCACUACUAUAUAGUGAUAUUAUCAUGGCUUUUACUCAAUUCAUAUUUCAUGUCCACUUGAAAAGGGCGAAUAAAUUCUGAGUUUGUGUUUAGCCCAGGCCAAAAGUUCCAUACGUUGAAAUAUGAAAUUUGGGAGAGUCGAUGUGGUUAUUUGAACCUAUAAGGUACAAGGUUCCAAACCGUCAUUUUGAAAAGACGUAAAAAACCACAGGUGCAAGUUUAAGAAUGUGCGUAAUUAUUAUAACAGGAACAUACAACAGAUAGAUUUUUUCCACCUGCAAUGAAGAUGCAGGCCCUGUAAAAUCUAUAAAAUUACAUUAUGUUCUGGAAGCCUCUGCAGGAAGAGGACGACGCCUCUUAAGCUUAGCCAUGAGCCUCUCAUGGUCUCCCAAAAUUCUUUCAUUGGAGACCUGCAGCAUAUCUAGCCUUCUCAGUGUAUCAACAGAGUACGAACUCACCAGUUUCAACAAUGCAUUAUUCUCUCCUUUAAGUUUCUCAACCUCCUGUUGAGACUCAUGAAGCAUUCUUUGGAGAGACGAAUUUUCAGUUGUUAAAAUCUGAACCUCGUUUGCUCUAGCACGCAAACGAUCAGCCAUGUUAGAAACAGAAGCAGCACUCUGAAUGCUAAAAGCCAUUGAGUCAUCAAUAGCCUCUUCCUCUGAUCUCCCUGCCAACAACAUUUCAUCCAUUGGAGUAAUGAAAUUCCUAGCUAUUAUGACAGCAGUAGCAUCAUUCAUCAUCACAGAAUCAUUAACUAUGAGAUGACGAUUUUGGGAUACAAAGGAUGGACGCCAAACUUUGGCGUCACUGGUUGUUGUGGGAGUAUCAUUUAAAUUGAAAUAAUUUGGGCAGGAAGAAGAGGAAGCCAUUUUUAAGAAGGUUUCGAAGAAAGUCUUAAGAAAACUAAAGUUUCAGAAAAUGAAGGAAGUUAAGUUGAAACGCAGUUGCUCCAAUCAAGUUUUGCAAAGGCAAUAUCUAUAGGAGGAAAUAUGGCUACAGUUUUUCAGGAUCCCAAUAUCUUUUCGGAUCCCCAUAUUCUCUUUUUCUUUUCCAGAUUCCAAAAUUUCAUGUGGCCUCCAUUAAUGUUUGUCGGCACUUUCGGCAUUUUCAAAGUAUUAUUUUCGUCAAAAGCCGAUCUUGCUUUGCGGAUUUCACGGAGCUAUUUUUUCAAAAGCACCCCGAGAAUCUCGCAAUUUUCUUAUGGUUAAUUUGAAAUUCACCGGUUCUACCUAUUCCUCUUAUUUGUGUAUAAAUGUGUUACUAACGAAAUUUUCUUUGCAGAAGACAUCCAGUUUUCUUCAUACCUAGUGAUGCGAUAUCUACUUAUUUUUCUUAUCAGUGAGCACUUAAUAUGCCCUAGAAGCAAGACUAUCUCUGAUCAUCCAUUCAGGAAGCGAGACUAUCCCUGAUCACGUUUCCGCCACAUCAGGGAACUGUGAAGGCAACCUUAUGCUCUAAUCUCCGGAAGUUCUUCUAGACUAGAAGAAAUGAGAGCUUGUUGUUUGCUCCCACCAGCUUCCUUCCUUGAUUGCUGAGCUUGUUGUCUGCUCCCACCAGCUUCCUUCCCUGAUUGCUUACCUUCUCUUGCAAUCAAUAUCACAUUAUUUUUGCAUUUUUUCUCUUUUUAUAACUCUCUGUUCAUAAGAGAUUUUAUUUCUUUAGAAUGAACAUCUGAAGAAAGAAUCCAUGAAGUGAUCCUAACUCUGAGGGUUAUUUGUUUUUGACAGAGAAAAGAGUUGUGAUUUUGCUCUUGCAGGAUAUAAUUAAAUCAUCAAGCGCUACAUUAUAUUUACUGGGCCGAUACAAGCUUGAAUGAUACUUGAGAAAAGUUUCUCCCACCUAAGGAUGUAAGCAAUACUUGUGUUAUUUUAUGCUUAUAUACUUAUUUGAUAUUUUAUUCUGAAAGGUAACCAAAUGGGGAGAUAAGUCUGUUCCAAAAGAAUGGCUUGUAUGUAUCCAUGAAUUAUUAAUUCAAAUUUUACAGAUUGUAAGUUGGAUACAUUGAUAAUACACUGCACAGAUUAAAGUCGCAUAAGAACAGAAUAUGGGUAUAGCAGUGAUCAAUAUGAUGCACGCCUGUUGCGUAGCAAAUGAUGUGGAUUGAAGUCCCGAAAGGACAAUCCUUUGACAUGUCAAUAUUGAUAUUGUGCACGCCUAAUGCGUAGCAAAUUAAAUGGGUUAAAGUCCCAUAAUAUGGGUUAAGGUCCCAGCAAUUAAUUGACAUGAAUGUAUUAAUCUGUGGCAUGCCUUCAGCAUGACAGAUAUAUGGGUUCUAAAUGUUCCAACUCCCUAAAUGGAGAUUAUACACGCCCUACUGCUAAAUAACGCUCCAAUGGAGGUUAUAAUCCACAUUCUCACAUAAUAAAAGCCCCAUGAAGUGGCUUAGGUACCCAAAGGCAAAUAAAUGCUUAUAAUUGAUGCAUGCGCAUGCACAUGAGAAUGGUGGGAUCAUGAAUUGAUGAAUGACAAUUUUUGAUUUUGGAGUAGCUACUCAAAUCAUCAAUGGGCUGUGUUAAUUGGAACCACGUUCAAUUAUUAAAUGUCGACAAUAUCAUUGGCCAAAAUGGAAUGAGGUAAUUCCAUUAUAGAUGAGAAUGAACGUGAAAGAACAAACCCACAGUACGAACCCCAAAAAAUGUUAAUACUGAAAUUUAUACUUGGGUGUUCGGAAUAAAAGGGAAUAUACCUACUUUGUAUGACACACUGUUUCUGGCAGAAACAAGGAAUGUUGGGUUUUUCUCCAUAUUUACAGAUUCAAUUGUGCCCCCCUUAUUACACAAUUACGGAGACCAACAUAUUAUCUUUAAGGAUUAUUAAAUGCACGGAGCAUAUCGCCAGAAGCGAUUUCCUAAAGAUGUAUAAAUAGCUGGGUAAAAGCUAUAUAAUGUGUCAUAAAGUUUAAUCCCUUUUAAACAAAAUUCGUUGAGAGGAUUGACAUUGCAUAAAGCAAGUCCCUAAAGGACAUGUGCUUGAAGCACAAAAUUUGUACUCAAUAUUAAUAUGCAUAAAUUACCUCAGUGAGUACAUUGAUUAUAAUGUGAUUGCAACACAUUAAAGCUUCUGCAGAAUUCACGAAAUAUUUGUCUCGACUUAAAAAUCGAGCAUUAUGCCAACGAGAUUCUUACUUAUACUAAGAAAGUAUUGAAGCAUUUUUAUGAGGAUUAUCCGUUGGACACUUUAAUGAUUUUCCGGAAGUAUAUUGGACCGGACAUCAUAUUUUCCAAAUAGGGCUCAACUCCAUCACCAUCAUUUUGGGAUGAUGUGAGGUAUAUUUGAUUCUAUCUCCGCAUAAUACCAUGUACGGGCAUAUUCUUUCAAUUGAACUUGCAAAUAGCCCAAGUUUUGUUGAAAACGCGGACUCUGAAAAUUUCUAUGAUUUACAUAGAGAUAGCUCACUGGAAAUAUAUUUACUUACUCAACUACGAGAAUUGUUAAUGGCUACAUCCUCCACUCACUCCGAAAGAUUCUCACUCCAAAAGAUAGUCAUGAAGACAUCAGGAGGAGAUAUUAAUCAGGGGGAGCAUCCAGAAGUAUGCUAUACAAAUUGUUGUACUCUUCCUUCCAUCAGUUUUCUACCUCACUAGGUUUUCUCCAAGCAAGUCUUUAAUGAUGCAACUAACAUAUCACAUGUGGUCUUCAAGGGGGAGUGUUAUAAAAUAAAUGAAGCCCACAUAGGUAAAAUUAAGUGGGAAUUAGUGGAGAUAAAGCUAGUAGGUAUUAGUCAAAAGAUGGGAUAAUGAUGUUGGGGAUAAAUCAUUAUGUCUCCAUUAAGAGCCAUUUGCUUUGCCUAUAAAUAGGCAUUAUAUUUGCUUGUAAACACACAUAUAGAAGAGGAAGAGAAGUAAGAGUGAGGAAAGAAAGAAAGGAAGAGAAGGAAGAAUGAGGGUGAGUGAGUUGAGAGGAAAGAGAGCAAGAGAGGAAUUCUCCAAGAGAGAAAAUUGAGUGAGCCAUACAUAUUGUAAACACUAAAGUUGUAGCCCUAUUAUCUUACAUAGUGAAAAGUUACUAUUGCUGCUCUCCGAGGACGUAGGCAUAGCCGAACCUCGUUAAAUACUGUGUCUCAUCUACUUUACGUGCCGCUCAAUAUUCGCACAUAUCUCAGUUAUUUUACAACAUUUAUCUUUAUUGAAUUGUUUACUCUAAGCCAUUGAAAUUUAAAAUAAAAUAAAAAAAUCUUUUUCUAUUCUAUUGAAUGGCAAUGAAGUUGUAGUAAUGGGUGGAUUUAUAGGAGUAUACCAAAUAGAAAAGGCAUAAAUAUUCCAAAUAAAAAUUGGUUAUUUUCUUCUGAAAAUGUAAUACUCUGAAAUCGAAAAUAUAUUUAAAAUUUUGUUGAAUUUUGUGAGCCUAGUAAAAAAAUAAUAAAAUAUUUCAAUAGAAAAAAAAAGUAAAUGAAUAAAGUUGAUUGGAUAUGCUAUGGCCCCAAUGUACUUUUGAAGCAAUUUGAGUCAACCAAAUUUGUCACGAUUGGUGGUAAAAAUUGUAACAAAAGGCAAUUGUGACGCUUCAUAUAUUACGAACUCCUAAAUCGUAACUGCAACGUAACUAAGUGUCCAUUUUGCAUUGCUUAUUUGGGGUAAUAAGUGAUUUUUUAAAAAUUUUGAGAAGCCCAACCCGUUUGAUAAAUUGUGAGAAAAUCACUUAUUAUUAAAAAUUGCUGUGAGAGAAAGCUAUAAGAGAAAGCAGCUAAUAAGGUGCUUUCAUUUUCUGAUUAUGCAGGAAUCAGUUUCGAAGAGGCGUUGGGUUUAAUGAUUAUGCGGCAAUCAUUUUCUAAUUAUGCGGAAAAUCAUUACCGACAACACUUUUAACAAAAAUUUUACCAAACGCCAAACUGCUUUCUCUCAUAGCAAAUCUAACAGCGAUUAUUUUUAUAGCACAGCAAUGCCAAACUAGCCCUAAAGGGUUUAGUCAUUGAAAAUAGUUAUUGUGGCACCACCAACAGUCACCAAAGAAGUCAUGAAAAAAAGUUACUAUUGCCUCAUUUUUUUGUAGUGUUUGUAAAUUAAUAUUCCCUAUUGUUCCGCAAACAUAACCACUGUGAAACCUUAUCAUGUUAUAAAACCAAAGAAUUUGAGAGAGAAUUUAGAUGGAGAGAAUGUAGAGAAACAGAUUUCUGUAUAUUCAUGUCUGUGUUCAUAUUUCUGUGUGUAUAUACAAUGGAAGGGUUUACACCCUUUUGUAGGCAGAGCUCCAUCCAACAAGUGGUGGAGUAGGUAAAGCUCCAUCCAACAAGUGGUGGGCUCCACCUUAUUAUUUACAACACUCCCCCUUGGAGACCACAAAUGAUAUGGAAUAUGCCUCUUUAAAAACCUUGCCAGUAAAAACUCAAUGGGACAAAAACUGGUCAAAGGGAAAAAGAGUACAUAAUCAUGUGUAACAUAAAAUUCUAUGUAUAUUGACGCGCGUGCGCGCGACACUGCCUCGUUAAAACCUUGCCAGGAAAAAUCCAGUGGGAUAAAAACCUGGACGAAGGAAAAAGAGUACGGUGUUUGAAGAUCUUUAUUGAGGGUGAGCUCCCCCCUGAUGCUUGGCAAAAUAUCUUUAAGUCAUACUGUUGAUCAGCUUUCUGAAUAUCGUAGUUGACACUGCUUCUGUGAGUCAAUCUUGAGCGACACUGCCUCGUUAAAACCUUACCAGGGAAAACCCAGUAGGAUAAAAACCUGGAUGAAGGAAAAAGAGUACAGUGUAUGGAGGUCUUUAUUAAAACCACGCUCCCCUUUGUGAAUAUCUCCCCCUGAAAAAUUUAGGACUAGCUUUUGUCCAGUAAGCGACCAUAAAAAUUUUCAUAGUAUACCCUAAACCCCUGAGCGACACUACCUCGUUAAAACCUUACCAGGAAAAAUCCAGUGGGAUAAAAACCUCGAUGAAGGAAAAAGAGUACAGUGUAGAGCUGAGCUCUAUCUGGUCUAGUAUACUUCCGGAAAAACAUUUAAGGACCAACGGAUAAGACUCAUAAAAAUGCUUCAAUACUUUCUUAGUAUAAGCAAGAAUCUCGUUGGCAUAAUGCUCGAUCGAGACAAAUAUUUCGUGAAUUCUGCAGAUGUUUUAAUGUGUUGCAAUCACAUUAUAAUCAAUGUACUCACUGAGGUAAUUUAUGCAUAUUAAUAUUGAGCACAAAUUUUGUGCUUCAAGCACAUGUCCUUUAGGGACUUGCCUUUUGCAAUGUCAAUCCUCUCAACGGAUUUUGUCUAAAAGGGAUUAAACUUUAUGACACAUUAUAUAGCUUUAACCCAGCUAUUUAUACAUCUUUAGGAAAUCGCUUCUGACGAUAUGCUCCGUGCAUUUAAUAACCCUUAAAGAUAAUAUGUUGGUCUCCGUAAUUGUGUAAUAAGGGGUGCACAAUUGAAUCUGUAAAUAUGGAGAAAAACCCAACAUUCCUUGUUUCUGCCAGAAACAGUGUGUCAUACAAAGCAGGUAUAUUCCCUUUUAUUCCGAACACCCAAGUAUAAAUUUCAGUAUUAACAUCUUUUGGGGUUCGUAUUGUGGGUUUGUUCUUUCACGUUCAUUCUCAUCUAUAAUGGAAUUACCUCAUUCCAUUUUGGCCAAUAAUAUUGUCGACAUUUAAUAAUUGAACGUGGUUCCAAUCAACACAGCCCAUUGAUGAUUUGAGUAGCUACUCCAAAACCAAAAAUUGUCAUUCAUCAAUUCAUGAUCAAAAAUUGUCAUUCAUCAAUUCAUGAUCCCACCAUUCUCAUUUGCAUGCGCAUGCAUCAAUUAUAAGCAUUUCUUUGCUUUUGGGUACCCAAGCCACUUCAGGGGGCUUUUAUUAUGUGAGAAUGUGGAUUAUAAUCUCCAAUGGAGCGUUAUUUUACAUAGGGCGUGGAAAAUCUCCAUUUAGGGAGUUGGAACAUUUAGAACCCAUAUAUCUGUCAUGCUGAAGGCAUGCCACAGAUUAAUACAUUCAUGUCAAUUAAUUGAUGGGACCUUAACCCAUAUUAUGGGACUUUAACCCAUAUAAUUUACUACGCAUUAGGCGUGCAUAAUAUCAAUAUUGACAUGUCAAAAGAUUGUCUUUUCGGGACUUCAAUCGACAUCAUUUGCUACGCAACAGGCGUGCAUCAUAUUGAUCACUGCUAUACCCAUAUUCUAUUCUUAUGGGACUUUAAUCUGUGCAGUGUAUUAUCAAUGUAUCCAACUUGCAAUCUGUAAAAUUUGCAUUAAUAAUUCAUGGAUACAUACAAGCCAUUUUGGAACAGACUUAUCUCCCCAUUUGGUUACCUUUCAAGAUAAAAUAUCAAAUAAGUAUAUAAGCAUAAAAAUAACACAAGUAUGGCUUACAUUCUAGUUGGGAGAAAUUUUUCUCAAGUAUCAUUCAAGCUCGUAUCGGCCUAGUAAAUAUAACGUAGCGCUUGAUGAUCUAGUUUUAUCCUGUAAGAGCAAAAUCACAACUCUUUUCUCUGUCAAAAAUAAAUAACCCUCAGAGAGUUACAAAAAGAGAAAAAAUGCAAAAAAAAAAUGUCAUAUUGAUUGCAAGAGAAGGUAAGCAAUCAAGGAAGGAAGCUGGUCAACAAGCUCUCAUUUCUCCUAGUCUAGAAGGACCUCAGGAGAUUAGAGCAUAAGGUCGCCUUCACAGUUUCCGGAUGUAGCGGAAACGUGAUCAGGGAUAGUCUCGCUUCCUGAAUGGAUGAUCAGAGAUAGUCUUGCUUCUCGGGCAUAUUAAAUGCUCACUGAUAAGAAAAACAAGUAGAUAUCGCAUCACUAGGUAUGGAGAAAACUAGAUGUAUUCUGCAAAGAAAAUUUCGUUAGUAACACAUUUAUACACAAAUACAAUGAAUAGGUAGAACCGGUGAAUUUCAAAUUAACCAUAAGAAAAUUGCGAGAUUCUCGGGGUACUUUUGAAAAAGUAGCUCCGUGAAAUCCGUAAAGCAAGAUCGACUUUUGAUGAAAAUAAUACUUUGAAAACGCCGAAAGUGCCGACAGGCAUUAUCAGAGGCCACGUGAAGUUUUGGACUCUGGGAAAGAAAAAGAUAAUAUGGGGAUCUGAGAUAAUAUUGGGAUCCUGGAAACUGUAGCCAUAUUUCCUCCUAUAGAUAUGGCCUUUGCAAAACUUGAUUGGAGCAACUGCGUUUCAACUUGCUCCUUUCCUAUUAUAAUAAUUGCGCACAUUAUUAAAAUUUGCACCUGUGGUUUUUACAUCUUUUCAAAAUGACGGUUUGGAACCUUGUGCCUUAUAGGUUCAAAUAACCACAUCGACUCUCCCAAAUUUCAUAUUUCAACGUAUGGGAGUCCGGAACUUUUGGCCUGGGCUAAACACAAAACUCAGAAUUUAUUUGCCCUUUUCAAAAUGGACAUGAAAUAUGAAUUGAGUAAAAGUCACGCUAAUAUCUCAUAUAUUUGGGUUCAUGAGCUUCCAGCCCAGAUAUAACAAAAUACGUGGAGAGCCUCAAUUCAUCAUUCUUUUAUGCCAAAGAGAUAUGUGGCGUACCACAAUUUGCAAUAAUACCUCAAGGGUUGUCCAUUUAAUUGUUGGAACUUCAGGUUCUCAACACUGUUAGAUUUUGAACUUCUGGCCAAAAUCACAUAUUCUCAUGGUAUGGACAUUCAAUCCCCUUAGAUUUUGAACUUCGGGCCAAAAUCACAUAUUCUCAUGGUAUGGACAUUUUUACAAUUUUCUGUACAUAUUUCUGGACUUCAAGCCCUUACAUAAUUGUCCAUAUUUUGAGGAACUUCUGGCAUCUCAUUUAAUUGCUCAUCCAUGAGUUUAAGGAACUGCAGGUUCCCUUUUGAAUGGUGAUAGUUUGCCCAAAAUGGGAAAUAUUUAUGCAUACAUCACUAUUCAUGUAUACAGCACUAUACAUGUGUACAGUACAUUUGCCAGUACAGUUAUCAUCCAUAUGUACGGCAUUAUGAACCAAUACGGUACUGUUACAUCAUUAAGGAACCCCAGGUCCUUAUUUACAUGUCAGGGAUCAAGGACCCUCAAGUCCGAUCACAUGUUUUACAAAUAUAGUACCGGAGAGACUGCCAGCUCUCAAAUUAACAUCAUCAUCAAGGAUCUUCAAGUCCUGAUGUAAUUGUAUGAUGAGGAUCAAGGAACUUCUGGUCCUGAUCUAUAUACUGUAAAAAAAUUCAUCAUACAGCACAUUUAGUCCAUAAAAUAAAUUGUUGGUAAAUAAAUUACUGGUAUGGACGAUAAACCCGCACCAUACAUUUAAAUAAAAGUAAAGGCGUGGACGAUAAACCCGCACCACCCUUUUAAAUAAAUGUAAAUGUGCGGUAAAGUAAAUUUAUAAAUUAAAUUGCUUGCUGUAUGGACGUUAAUCCCGCACCAUACUUUAAAUGAAAUUAAAUGUGCGGUAAAGUAAAUUCAUAAAUUAAAUUGCUUGUUGUAUGGACGUUAAUCCCGCACCAUACUUUAAAUAAAAUUAAAUGUGCGGUAAAUUAAAUUCAUAAAUUAAAUUGCUUGCUGUAUGGACGUUAAUCCCGCACCAUACUUUAAAUAAAAUUGAAUUUGCGGUAAAUUAAACGUGCUUGUAUGGGCACUAAUUCUGCUCCAUACAUUUAAAUAAAAUUAAAAGCGUGGACGAUAAACCCGCACCACCCUUUUAAAUAAAUACUGUUGUAUGGGUAAUAAACCUACACCAUACAGUAAAUAAAAUAAAUAUGGGGUUAAAAAUCACCACCGAAUAAAAUAAGAUAAAUGUUAGUAUUAGUAACGGUCUCCCACUGAUAAUAUGUUUAGUAUUACCAAGGGUCCAUUUUUGUUAAUGGUUAGUAAAAGAAAAGCAGAUAAAUAUAAUAAGAAAUAAUAGGGAAGAUAAGGGAGCAGAAAUCUUAUCGCUUAUUCUUUCGCUUAUGCCCUUGCUAAGUGAUCCCUUUUUUUUUUUUUUUUUUAAUUUUAAUUAUUAUUAUUAUUAUUAAUUUUGCUUUCUUUCGGUGGAUUUUGUUUGGUGCAGACACAGCGUGCCAGCUUUCCCUUAUUUUCAAACGACAGCAUAUUCGUGGGUGGGGGGCUGUGAUCAUGCGUACCCAUAUUCUCUACCUGUCUCUCUCUCUCUCUCAGCCAUAGCCAACUUUUUGUCCAGCUUUGCAGAGAGCUCGCUCACUUGGAUCUGUAGCUCCCUUGGAAAACUUUUAGAUGGGCUGAUCUGCAUGGCUCCACAAUCAAGCUUAUGGAUCCAUAGUGGAACACCUUAGCGGAUUUGAUGAGCUCGAUGGAGGAUUGGCCAUCCCCGAACGUCUCGGCCGAUCCGAAAUCGGCGAUCCAGAGCCGGUCCCGACCGUCGAACAAGGUGUUGUCCGACUUGAUGUCCCGGUGAGCCACGUCGAGGCGGAGGCAGUGCGCAACGGCGAGCAUGAGCUGAGCCAUGACCGAGGCUGCCUCGGGCUCGGAGAAGUCUCCUAGAGUGACUCGGCGGUGGAGAUCGGGUGCAUCACAGAGCUCAAGAACGUAGCGCCGGUGACCAUGACGACCUUGCCGUGGAGGUGGCGCCAUGGCUCGAGGUGGUCCGCGACUUGGUUCGCCAUAUCGGGCGCAUCACAGAGCUCAAGAACGAAGCGCCGGUGACCAUGACGACCUUGCCGUGGAGGUGGCGCCAUGGCUCGAGGUGGUUCGCGACUUGGUUCGCCAUAUCGGGCGCAUCACGGAGCUCAAGAACGAAGCGCCGGUGACCAUGACGACCUUGCCGUGGAGGUGGCGCCAUGGCUCGAGGUGGUCCGCGACUUGGUUCGCCUUACUUACUCUCAGUAUGUAGAAAACACAAGGGAACCAGCUUAAAGAAGUUUAUUCUGAGCAACAGCCUGACAUAAUUCGUCCUCAUAGAACAAAACUCUAUUCGAAGCCAAUGAUUUGCAGAGGGGCUUUGGUAAGACAGAAGGGACCAUGCAUCUUGCAGGGAAGUUUGACUCCUGGAAGAGAACUGCUGCAACCUGCCGCAUUUCAGAGACUUUGAGGCGAGAUGGUGGUCGGGGACCAUGCCUUGGUGCUUUUGGAGUAUGGGGGCUUCGAAUGAAUAUGCCUUUCCCAUCUCCCUUGCUGCAAAAAGUCAUGUAAAACUCGGUAAAAUAAGAAACCUAUCUGACAGGGUAAAUAGUGAUAUUAUCCAGAAAACAUUAAAUAAGCAUUUGUUUUAAAUUCAGAGUUUCAUUUCUUUGCAGAUUUCUCAGCCUGCCCAUUGAACUCCACACGAGCAGAAGAGGGCUUAUGAUUCCGAGGCACGUAGAAUUCGUGGCAAGAAAGCCAAGGUUAAUUUCCCUGAUGAUGGAUCUUGAAGGCCUUGUGAGACUGGGAGUGAUUGGCUUGCGGGUAAGGUUGGAAAAUCUGAAGCAAGUUGCUGUUGGCUCUGUUUUGAAGAACUCUGCAAAAUUUGAGCUCAAGAAGAAAUCAGAGAGGAAAACAGAGAGAAAGAGAGUGUAUCAGUUGUGUUUUUCUGACUGGGUUUCAUCAUAAAAUUCAGCUGGUAUUGUUUGAACGAAAUCGUGCUGAUAACGUGUUAUAAAACCAAAGAAUUUGAAAGAGAAUUUAGAUGGAGAGAAUGUAGAGAAACAGAUUUCUGUAUAUUCAUGUCUGUGUUCAUAUUUCUGUGUGUAUAUACAAUGGAAGGGUUUACACCCUUUUGUAGGCAGAGCUCCAUCCAACAAGUGGUGGAGUAGGUAAAGCUCCAUCCAACAAGUGGUGGGCUCCACCUUAUUAUUUACAACAUAUCAUUAUAUUUUCUUACUUUUUUGUCUAUAUAUAUAUAGACACACACUAUGAUAGAGAAUGUUGAUCUUGUACGGUCAAUAGACAAUCUGUACAUUGCCACAUAUAAUUCUAAAGCCUCCUCAUGCUGAUGAUUUUGAAUGUAACCCAAGAUCAUGGCAUUCCAUAUUACAAGAUUCUUUUCCCCUUUCGUUUUCUUUGAAAAGUUGUAGGUAACUAUUUUUAUUUUUGUUCACCCUAUGGUAGAGGUAUAGUAUAUACUUUUGUAUAAAUUAUCCUAUGGUGUAGGUAUAUUGUCAUAUUGCCUAUUGCAGAGGUAUAUAUAUGUGCUUUUCAUAUUUUGGACAAUGAAUAUUAGUAUUUUAUGUACAUUUAUUUUAUAGGCAACAUGCAAUUUUAUUUGUCUAUUUUUGUAUCUGACUUAGGUAGUCUUCACAUAUAUGUUCCUAACUUAUAGGUAGUAUUCUAAUUUAUGUUCAUAACCUAUAGGUAACACGAUUUAUUACUAAGUUUUUUUUCGUUGCUAAUAAGAACACUAUUUACGUGUAUGUUAGAUACAAUGUGGGUGCUUGCCUAAUUGAUUAGUAUAAUAUGUGGGCCUUUACAUUCAUUGAUUAAUUUGUAUUUUACCCAUAUAUUAGUUAAAUAUUAUCAAUGAAAGAAUUUCAAAUUUAAAUUCUGAAAUUUAAUUACAAGUAAAUAAUUCAUUAAAUUUAGAUUUUCAAUGUUUUCAUUAUUUACCUCCAAGGGUAAAAUCGACACAAUAAAAAGAGUAAUAAAAGUCAAGGACCUACCUCUAAAACCAAAAACGCGUGGACUAAUUAACCUACUGGCAGCUAAUCGUUUUGGACCUAGCUCCACCAAUGAUCAUUAUUCAUGAUACAUCUAUGGAAACAAAAACAAAAUUACAAAAAUACAAAAAAAAAAUGGAAAUCCUUUAACCAUUUAAUUAUUCUGGUGAAUAUUUUCAUUGUUUAUAGGAAAUGUUGUGUGUAUCUAUUUAUGUGAUCAUAGUUGGAUAGCUGAAUGUUGUCAAAUGUGGCUAAUUGUUUGUAGUGUUAGAAGCUUUUGUAUGUGAAGUUGUUAAGAGCAUCCAAGGUGCACAACACACUUUUUUUUUAAUAAAUAAAUCUCGAUAAAAAUUAGACCUCCAUUAAAAAAAAUUUGGGUUCGUCAAUGAAUGCAGGUAUAGAACAUCCAAGCCAAUUUAGCCAAAUCUACUAUCCGACAUGGGUUUCUUAUUAGUUGAAAGAAGGAAAGGACAUACAAAUAGGAGAUGAUGCAACAAAUGAGGAAAAGAAGAUUGUAAAGCAGAUGAUGAUGGUAGCAUUAUGGUGCGUACAAAUGAGGCCCAGUGAACACCCUUCAAUGAAUAAAGUAGUGGAGAUGCUCAAAGGACACAUUGAGAACCUUCAAAUGCCUCGAAGGCCUUCCUUAUAUCCACAACAAACUCCUGCAGAUGAAGUUGGUGGGGACAAUACAAGUCCCAGUGCAUCAAGUGGUUCAAAAUUUGAAGAGAUUAGUUUGGUUGCAAUGCAAAUUAAGUGUUUUAAUAUUAGUCACGAUGUGGCUGUAUGUAAGGGAAAUUUAGCAGCUCUACUUAAGGGCCAGUUAUAAACAUGUUUUUCAUAUUUGAUCAUAGCACAAAUAUUUUUAAUUUACAUGUAAUUGAGUUAAGCAAAUAAUUAGCCUCCGCCUUUGGUUAUUGGUAGCUAUGUUGAUGUGCAAAGUGUAAGUCUUUACUAAACUUUUAUACAAUAAUACUAACCUUGUUCAGCCAUUGUAGCAGUAGAGUAUCUUGAUUUCGUCUAGAGAGUCUUCUACCCUAUGCAGCACUUUAGUUUCUCUUUCUCUUAGAUAGGGUGAGAUCUGAUUUGAGAGGGUGUUUGCUGCAAGGGGAGGGACCUCUAUUUAUAUGUGCAUCACUCAUAAAGCUUUGCCUAUCAAGAAGCGUUUGAGUGUCCUUUUUGCAUUAGAAUAGGUUUGUUUCAAUCCAUGUUAUAUUAGGAAUCCUGAUAAUACUUGUGUUUAACUUUAAUAAGCUUUGUACAAGUAUUAUCUCAUAAGGAUUGAGUUCUAUUUCCUGAUCAAACCAAAACUCGAAUCCUCUUGGGAUCAGAAGAUCAUCUUUUAUGGGCUGAGACAAUAAAUCGUCUUACAUUCUCCCACUUGAUCGAUUAAUCCCAAAGUUUUGUGUUGAUCACUUAAGGCCUUUGUGAAAUAUAACUCAAACUGAUUCCAUCAAGCAAUUGUCAACUUUAAAGAAUGAAAAGGAACCAUCAAGACUUCACUGGAUAUCUAAUGCUCCAGGGUCUUUAUAAUUACAUUAAUCAUUCUUUAAAACCACAUAAGCUUCCAUCAAGAUUAAACAGAAAAAUAAACAUGUUCUACUGGAAAGCUUUAUGAACAUGUUCAUUCAAUGUCCCUUUAAUUUGACUACUAAGGUCUUAUCACUUUUAAAUGAUAUCCUGUCAUGAAUGAAAACCAUAUGCAGAUAUCUUUAGCUAGCUUUCUGCUUAAUUCAUUCAAGUAUUUAUAAGCAUAUACAUAUAUAACAUUUAAGCAUGUAAACUGUUUUAAUGAGAAAACUUUAUUUUUGAAUCACAAAAUAAAAUAAACAUCCAUCGAAACCAUAACCAACUGUGAAUUAAAGCUAUAACAGAAAACUACUCAAAACUUAACAAGGCUCCCACUGAUUUAAGCAUUCAAAUCAUUCCUUAAUCCCAUGCUCAUAACAUGCCUGUGAAACACUGCAUUUGGGAUUCCUUUUGUGAGAGGGUCUGCAAUCAUUCUGUCUGUACUGAUAUGACUUAUAUUAGUAUAGCCUUGAGCAAUUUUCUCCUUCACAAUUAUGAACUUGACAUCCAACAGUCUCGAACCCUUUGUUCUUUUGUUUCCUUUUGCAAACAAAACUGCUGCACUGUUGUCAUUCCAUAUUUGAAUUGGUCUGUGUAUUGAUUCAACCACAUUCAAGCUGAUGAUGAAAUUUCUUAACCAUAUGGCUUGAGAGGUAGCUUCAUAGCAUGCUAGAAACUCAGCAAACAUAGUUGAACCUGCUGUCAGAGGUUGUUUUACACUUCUCCACGACACUGCACCUUCGCCAAACAUAAACACAAAACCUGAUGUAGAUUUUAAGGAGUCUUGACAUCCUGCAAAAUCAGCAUCUGCAUAACCUUGUAAUUCCAGUGUAUCACUUCUUUUGAAUGUCAGCUUGUAAUCUUUUGUCCUUUGCAAAUAUCUUAACACUCUUUUCCCUGCAAUCCAGUGAGCUUGUCCAGGAUUAGAUUGAAAUCUUCCUAGCACACUGACUGCAAAGGCCAAGUCAGGUCUGGUACAAACCUGCGCAUACAUUAAGCUUCCAACUAGUGAAGCAUAUGGUUUAUCAACCAUUUCCAGCUUUUCUUGCUCAGUCUUAGGUGCUUGUUCAGUGCUCAGUUUAUCCCCUUUUGAGAUAGGAAUGUCACUUCCUGUGCAGUUUUGCAUAUUGAAUCUCUUGAGCACCUUUUCUAUGUAGGAUUUUUGUGAUAGUCCAAGUACCCCAUUCUUUCGAUCUCUGCUUAUAUCUAUGCCUAAAACAUAUGAUGCCUCAGCUAGAUCAGUCAUUUCAAAAUUCUUAGAUAGGAAAUUCUUGCAGUCAUGUAGCAUGGUGAGGUUUGUGCAUGCUAGUAGAAUGUCAUCCACAUACAGAACUAGUACAAUGAAAUGUCUCCCACUCAUCUUCAUGUAUAUGCAUUCAUCUAAAACAUUCUCAACAAAACCAAAAUCUUUCACUACUUUAUUGAACUUUAGGUACCACUGUCUAGAGGCUUGUUUUAAUCCAUAGAUUGAUUUGCAUAGCUUGCAGACCAAACUUUUUCCCCCUUCUUGAACAAAACCUUCAGGUUGUACCAUGUAUAUGUCUUCUUCCAAAUCUCCAUUUAGAAAAGCUGUUUUGACAUCCAUCUGGUGCAAGUGGAGGUCAAAAUGUGCUACAAGGGCCAUAAUAACCCUUAAUGAAUCUUUGGUUGAGACUGGUGAGAAAGUCUCAUUAAAAUCUAUUCCUUCUUUCUGUGUGAAUCCCUUUGCAACCAACCUUGCCUUAUACCUGUCUAUCUGUCCUUUUGAGUCCAAUUUUGUUUUAUAUACGUACCCACUUACAACCAAUUGGCUUGCAACCCUGGGGUAAAGUUACAAGCUUCCAGACUCCAUUUUUCUCCAUUGAAUUCAGUUAUGAUUUCAUUGCUGCAAACCAGUUUUCUCUCUUUUCACUUGUCAUGGCCUGUUUAAAGGUUGCAGGAUCUUCUAAGAUAUUCACAUCAUGUUCUGCUCCCUGCAAGUACACAAAAUAAUCAUCUCCUAAAGCAGGUUUUCUUUGCCUUUGUGAUCUUCUUAGUUCCACGUUGGGUUCUAGAUUUUCUACUUCAGGUGCUUGAGCCAUGACUUGGUUUUCUGCUGGCAGUGCUUGAUCGUCAUUUAAUUCCAUUGGUUCUGUAAUUUCAAGUCCAUUUGUAUUGAUCUCCUCAAUGUGUCCCAGUUGAGUAUUGCUUGAAUCAAUUUGAGGUAGUCUGACAAUAUCUUCAUUCGAAAUCUGUGGCAUGUCAUGGUUCAAGGUUAUUUCUUCAAAACUGAAACUUUCUUCCUCAUCUCUUUCUUGGUCAGUUUCUAUAAAGACUGCUCUUGAGGUUUCUAUGAAUCUGCUAGUGUGUUUGGGGCAAUAAAAUCUAUAUCCCUUUGUUCUUUCAGGAUAGCCAACAAAAUAACCACUUAUGGUUUUUGGAUCCAACUUCUUUUCUACAGGAUUGUAAGGUUUUGCUUCUGCUUUACAACCCCAUACUCGCAGAUGUUUAAUGCUAGGCUUCCUUCCAUUCCACACUUCAUAGGGGAUUCUAUUUAUGCUUUUGGUUGGAGUUCUAUUUAGAAUGUAAUUUGCUGUUUUUAAGGCUUCUGCCCAAAGAAAAAUUGGUAAAUUUGUACAGCUCAUCAUGCUUCUUAUCAUGUCUUUCAAGGUCCUAUUUCUUCUUUCUGAAAUUCCAUUUUGCUGAGGUGUACCUGGGUUGGUAUACUGAGCUAUGAUUCCUUCUUCUUGAAGAAAUUUAGCAAAAGGUCCAGGAUUUCUUCCAGUCUCAUCAAACCUUCCAUAGUACUCUCCUCCUCUAUCCGAUCGAACCACCUUUAUUUUCAAGUUCAACUGGUUUUCUACUUUAGCCUUAUAAAUUUUGAACUUGUCCAAUGCGCUGGAUUUCUCUUUAAUAAGAUAGAUAUAUCCAUAUCUUGAAAAAUCAUCUGUAAAGGUUAUAAAGUAGUUAAACCCUUCAUGAGUUGGAUUUGGAAAAGGUCCACAUAUGUCUGUGUGAAUGAGCUCUAAUAAACCUUUUCUCCCCAAUGCCCCUUUCUUUCUUAAGUUGGUUAAUUUCCCUUUGAUACAUGGAAUGCAAACUUCAUCUAUGUUUUCGUGAUUCAAUGGUGGUAAGACAGAUUCUUUGCACAGUUGUGUUAUCCUUUCUUUUGAAACAUGUCCAAGUCUCUUAUGCCAUAAUUUGAAGGAAAUCUCAUUGGUUUUAGUUUGCACAAUGUUUAUUUCCAUUUCAGUUCUUUUACAGUUUAACCGAAACAUUCCAUCAAUGAGACUUGCUUUGCCAACUAAAUCUUUAUUUCUGAAAAUAGAACAACCAGUUCCAUCAAAAUUCAAACUGAACUUUGAUUUUACAAGUCUAGUAACUGAAAUCAAACUCUUCUUCAUAGAAGGAACAUAAACUACUUCAUCUAAUUCCAAAACAAAACCAAAUUCUAGCUUGAUUCUAACUGUCCCUAUGUAAUUAACUUGGACUUCUUCUCCAUUUCCCACGAACACCUUCACUUCAUCCUUGCUUGGCAGCCUCUUGCUUGUAAACUCCUGCAAGGAAUUAGCCACAUGAAUAGAAGCACCACUAUCUAACCACCAUGAAUCACACGAGAAAUUAACCAAAUUAGAUUCAAAACAGACCAAAUCAGAUUGUUAUUACCUUUUCCCUUCUUCUUUUCCAGCCACCUUUUGUAUUUCCUGCAGUCUCUUUUCAUAUGCCCAGCUUUCUUGCAAAAGAAACAACCCAAUCCAGUUGUAGGUUUUAAAGCCUUUUCUGUAAUGCUCUCUUUUUCUUUCCCAGUUGCAGUCUUAUACUUAUUUUCCUUGUUCUGUUUAGUCUGAACCAUGUUGACCAUUUUGGCUCCCCUUUCUCUUAUGAUGUUGUGUUCUUGUUGGACAGAAAUAGUAAUAAGAUCAUUCAAAGUCCAGUUCUCCUUCUGAGCAAUAUAGGUUUCCUUGAGAGAUUUAAAUUCUUUAGGCAAUGAAUUUAGUGCAAAAUGGACCAUCAUAUCUUCAUCUACUGUCAUAUCCAAUUCCUGUAAUUUUGUCCCUAAGUCAAUCAAGUUCAUGAUAUGAGCUCUCACACAACCUUGCCCAUCAUAUUUCAUAUCAAUCAAUUGAUUCAGCAAGGUACUCUUGACAGCUUUUUCAGAUUCCUUAAACCUCUGUGCAAUUGCCUCAUAGUAUUGCUGUGCAUUCUUAGAUUUAGGAAUACUUCCUUUCACUGAUGAAGACAUAGCCCUUUGCAUGAUUAACAUAGCCAUCUUGUUUGCCUUUUCCCAUUUGGCAAACUUAGUCUUAGUUUCUGCAGAAGCAUCUGCAGCUGGUUCUUGAGGAGGUUUCUCUUUGAGCACAAAAUCGUAAUCCAGAAAGCCUAGAGAUAUUUCCAGAUCCUGUUUCCACUUGCCAUAAUUCGAUCCAGUCAAGGUUUCGAUGGAGUUGUGAUUCACUGUAAAAUUUGCAGUACAAAUUAAAUAAAACUGUCCCUAAAUCUUUACUUAAACAUGUCAACUUAUACCUGUGGGUUUAAGUUUAACGUGUUCCAAAACCCUAAACGGUUAACUGUACAGGCUUCCUGCGCAAGUAACUCACAUCUGUGGAUGUAAAGAUACUUACAAGCCAGUGCAACUAACUGUCCAGAUUGUUCCAUCAGUGGCGAUCAAUCUGUACAAUUUCCAUCUGUGGAUGGAGAAUCAUAUAGAAGGCUACAAACACUGAUGCAAUUUUCUGACCAAACUGUCAAAUUCAAGAACUCCUACACAACCUGAGCAGCUGUGGCUUACUCACUCUGCAUAGCAGUUUUCAAAUUAUUGGUCAAAACUUUAUGAGCAGAGAUAACCUUAUGCUCUUAACAGUUAAGAUUUUUAAAAGAAGGAAAAACUGCAUACUUUUAUAGCUUAUGAUCAAAUGGUUAGAUUAAAGGACAAAAGCCUAGAGCUCUGAUACCACAUGUAAGUCUUUACUAAACUUUUAUACAAUAAUACUAACCUUGUUCAACCAUUGUAGCAGUAGAGUAUCUUGAUUUCGUCUAGAGAGUCUUCUACCCUAUGCAGCACUUUAGUUUCUCUUUCUCUUAGAUAGGGUGAGAUCUGAUUUGAGAGGGUGUUUGCUGCAAGGGGAGGGACCUCUAUUUAUAUGUGCAUCACUCAUAAAGCUUUGCCUAUCAAGAAGCGUUUGAGUGUCCUUUUUGCAUUAGAAUAGGUUUGUUUCAAUCCAUGUUAUAUUAGGAAUCCUGAUAAUACUUGUGUUUAACUUUAAUAAGCUUUGUACAAGUAUUAUCUCAUAAGGAUUGAGUUCUAUUUCCUGAUCAAACCAAAACUCGAAUCCUCUUGGGAUCAGAAGAUCAUCUUUUAUGGGCUGAGACAAUAAAUCGUCUUACACAAAGAACAGGAUAGACAUUGUUUGAGAAAAUGCCAAUGGAACUUGAAGCUAUUAGAAGAAGCAUAGGCUUUGUUUGAGAAAAUGCCUGCCAUUUAGGAAUGCAAUGUAAGGUCCUUCUAGCAAUAGUGAGAAUGAAAAAUACGAACAAUGGAAAAUAAGGUGUUGAGAUUUUGACCCCAAAAAAAAGAAGGUGUUGAGACCAAAGCAAAGGCAUAUAGACUGAGAGGAAAGUUUGUAUCAACGGCAACGUUGAAAGCAGGCAGCUCAGCUUGUAUCCUGCCCUAUCCUCUGUUUUCAUCUUAAACCUUGUUAAGUUUCAGUUUUGCGGACAGAGCUACUAUGUUUGCCUGUGCCAUCAAUAAUGGAAACCAACCUUCUGCCCUGUACGUCAAAUAAUCUCAAUAUUUGAAUCUACUUCUACCGAGUACAGACCCCAGAGCAAGCUACAGACUUGGAUUGAUAAUGGCCAGUGAGUUUGAAGACAGUGCUAUUAAAAUUAAAAGUUACACUCUCAUUCCAUGCACAGCUCUGUUAUUAGAUCAUUGAUCCCAUUCAUUUUCAAAUCCGUUAGCAUCGGCAAGCCUAGAUGUGCUAACCAACUACUCGUCAAGUGGAUUCAUAGACUUCAAUAACCAAAGUAGAAACAAGCAUGAGACAGAUGUUCCUAAGCAAGUGCUCUGUUUCUACUAAAUAAUGUUACCUUCAUCCUCCUUCAAAGUCAGAUGAGCUCUACUUGCCGUUACUAUUAAUAUAUAUUGUGUUAAUUAAUCUCUACUAAUAAUUAGUCUAUUAUGCAACCAACAAAAACAAAUAAUUAAAUAUUAAAAUAUUUAUUGGGCCGGCCUAACCCAGCCCAACUAACCCAAUGUAGCUCAAACUAGCCAAACAAAGUUCUACCAAACAAGUUCAAGCCCUAAUGGCUCUGUCUGUGUGGGCAGGCUUGGGCCGAAGUACUAAAACUCAUACCCAAUCCAAAUUAGCCUAAAGAAAUGCUUAAAUCAUAAAAGCUCAACGCGGCCCAAUGAUUAAAGGUCAUACGAUCCACUUUCCAUCAAUAAUUGAACUCUCUCUCCCUCUUCAAUGUAUUUAUUUGUCUAGCAUUUUUUUUUCCUUGAAAGUAAUAGAUUUCAAUGCAAUUGAAUGGGGUAUCUUUUACUCCAAGCUACAUCAAAAGGCCAAAAGUUAAUUUUAACUGAAUUAUUGGAGCAUUAAAAUUUUACAUUUUCUCAUAACACUUCUUUUCCUGAGCUCUUUUUAAGACCUUUCCUAUUCAUAAGAACAAUAGUACUAAACUCACACACACUAUAUGAAUGCUAUGAUUCGAACCCAAAACCUUAUAUGGAAAGCAAUUACUUCAAAUCACUACACUAAGGGAAAAACAAGCUUUGUGUUUUUGUGUAACCUAGGUGGCUCUUCGAUGUUGAAGUUUUUAGCUCAAGAAAUCCAAUCACCAUUGAAACCCCAUUAGUUUUUUCUUACUUUUUUUUUUUUUUUAUAAAUAAUUUAAAUAAAGAUAAAAGGUAACAUGUUUUAUCAUUAAAUAUAUAUGUGGGACUCAAAUUGCUUUCAUAAAGUCCCGACUUGAGGAGUGGGUUUGAGAGAAGAGCCAGUUGUCCAUUGUGGAACAAUUGUUGAAUUCUCAUUGCACUUUCUUGGUUUGUUUUUUCUUCUGUCCUUUUUUUGUUUGGGAAUAGGAUGAGAACAAUCAGACAUUAUUUUCUUUCCGUGUGCGUGGUGUUGUGGUGAGGAAAUAUACCAUACAAGAUGGUCAAAGUCUUCCUCUACGUUACCUGCUUCACUAGACUUAAAAAAAUCUUCUUUUUGGAAAUUUCAUUAGUCUUCAGAAAUUCUCUUUCACGUUUAGGGAGAGAAUGGUCUAUUCGCUUAAAAAUAAUAUAUAAAUUAAUUUAUCCUCAAGUUGAUGGGAGUGACCAGAAUAAUUUAUUUUGAGAUAUAAAUUCAAUGGCUCCAUGCUUAACUAGGUUUGUAGGCUAAUAAGAAAAAAUUAACCACAUCGAAAAUCGUUUCUUCAUUAAAUAAUUAUUAUCUUGAAUUUUUUUUAUUGUUUAUAGAAGUACUGGGUUCGUCUAAUUUUUUUUUUACCACAAUUAGAUGACUGAUGACUAAUGACUAUGUCUAAUUUUUGCCACAAACGUUUUCUCUUCUAAAAUACUAUUUAUUAAUACUUAGUACAUACAUACUAUGACUAUGACUUUCAAUUUAACAUUUUGAGGAUGCCCAACCACCAUUGAAACCUCAUGAGAACCACAUAACAUGGUUUUGCUUUCUGUUGAUUUUUGUUGAGUUCAAUUCUAGUGGGAGUGACAAGAUGUUACGCAAUAGAUAAGUACCUCUCAUAACAACUGUGUUUGAAUAUUAGUCAAUAGUUUUGAGCACAUACUUGGUAUCUUCUGCACCUUUGAGUUUAGCAGAAAGAAUCGUGUAUUCCCUUGAAAACAAUAUAUAGACUAAUUUGUUGUCAUGUUGAUGGGAGUGGACCAAGAAAUUUUAUUUGGAGAUAUAUAUAAACUCAAGGGCUAUAUGCUUAAGCCGAUUUGUGGGCUAAUAAGAAAAAAAAUUAGUCUGUUAUUUUUUUAUUGCACUUAGAUGUCUGAAUGUUUCAAAUUCAGUAAUUUUUUGUAAGGGGGAUCUUUAAUUCAUGACCUAAACAAUGAACGAUUCAGAUCAUUUUAAUGAUAUUGUCAAGUUGACCCAAACGAUUGGUUAACAUUGUAUUAACCGUUUUUUUUAUCUAGCAAAUACAUAUUAUGUGGUGUUUAUAUCGGAAGAGGAGGAUUCGGUGGUGACACCCUAGCUAGGUCAAGAUAUUCAAUUCGUUAUAGUCUCAAUUAUAACAUGUACUGUGUUUGAUGAAUUAUUGCUAUCCAAUUAAUACUUUACAAUGAAAUUUAUUGAACUCAAACCAGUUUCUUAAUUAACACACGACAAUACCAUAACAAUCUUAUUAAUUUUAAGAACACUCGAAGACUCAUCUCAUAAGUGAGCGGUAUAAUCCAUGCAUACACAACUGCUUCUUUAGCGCAGAGGUCUGUUCAUUAUAUUCUAUAACUCGAAGUGCUGGCAAAAGGAUUAGGAGGCAUGGCGAGAUUCUCACCUUCUCUUUCCAACAUUUGAACUACAACUUCCAUUGAAGGACGAUCUAUUGGAUGCCAUUGGAUGCACCAUAGACCCAGAAUUGCAAGUUUCCUAGCAAUUGUUACAUCUACUUCGUCGUCACCGAUAUGGAUUCGUAGGUCGUUGCCAUGCUUUAAAAGGUUAUACAUCCAUUCUGGGAAGUAGACUUGACUAGAGGCGUCCUCCAUGACUUUAAAGUUUUUUCUGCCUCCAACCAUUUCAAGCAACAAUAUUCCAAAACUAUAGACAUCUGACUUAUAGGAGACAUUGCUGAAGUUCCUUGAGAAGAUUUCAGUUUUCAGGUGCGAUGUAGCCCAUGGUCCCCCUGGCUGUAGUCAUCAUAUUUCUUCUGUGCUAAACCGAAAUUAGAAACUUUUGGAGUGAAAUCUUGGUCUAGCACUACAUUAUGUGGUUUGAUAUCGAAGUGCAGGAUUUGUUGGUCGCAUCCUUGGUGAAGAUAUUCAAUUCCUUUAACUAUUCCUAGAGCGAUGUCUUGCAACUUAUCCCAACCAAUGAAUGAAUUCUUAUUAUCUGCUGAUGAUAAUAAAUUUUGCAAAGAACCAUUUGGUAAGUAUUCGUAAAUCCGUCUGCACAAACUCCAACCAAGCAAAUCGCAUUGACAUGGUGGAUUUGACACAUUGUCCCCACUUCAUUUAUGUAAUCUUCCCCAUUUUCAUUUGAAUUGUUGAGGAUUUUCACAGCAACAAGUAAUUCAGAGGAAAGCUUUCCUUUGAACAUUGUUCGGUAUGCCCCUUGAGUCAACUUUUCCUUGAAUUGAUUUGUUGUCCUCUUAAUAUCAGCAUAGGAAUAUCUACUUGGCUUCAUCGCUCUGUAAUCAUCCAAAAACUUUCGAUUCUAAGCCGAUUUUCUUUGUCCAUUUUGUUAGAGGUAUAGAUAUGGUUGAUUGUCAUCACCUUCGCUAUUAGAACUAAACACAGUGCACAAAUACCUGCAAAUAUUUUCUUUUUGUGCCAAUCAUUUUUUAAAGCGUUUUUAGCCAUUUUAAACUCUCUUCAAAACAUACACUUAAUUAAUUUCCUCACCAAUAUGUUCGUAAAGAAAAGAAAAAGAAAGAAAAAAUAAAUAAAUAAGGUGAAAUGAAGGUUACGAUCUGUAAAAGUUGUUCAUGAAAUAAGGACCGAUUUUCAAAUCAAUGAAAUCCAAAAUUAUAGUUUGCAUAUAGAAUCUUCAAUGAAUCUUGAAAUAAUCUUGAAAUUAUAGUUGGAAAGUAAACUUGGAGUGUAAAAUACCUUUGCAAUGUUCAUGGAAUGGACCAAUGCAAUAUUCCUAUCUCAUCAGAUAUAUAUAUAUAUACGCUAAUCACCAAUGAAACAACAAUGACAGCGUAAAUAUGGUUACCAGAAUUGUUGCCAGGGCUCAAUCUCUCCAGACAUUCACUACCAUAUAUGCUGGAACAAUAUUUAUCUCUUACUGUUGACGGUGGACAACUGAAUAAGCAAGCAACCAUUACUGUAAAACAUCUCCCUAGGCAAGCAACCAUCAUAAGGUGUUCCUCUAAUUGCAUGAGAUCUGUAGUUAAUCGGCCCCACUCCUUCUGGAUGUUUUAGUCAAUGGCCGACGGGUAAGGUGAUCUCUAAAUUUUUAUCUGACUAUGGGCCAACAAAAAUAAAUAAAUAAAUAAAUAAAUUUAUCUCUUUAAAGAGUUAAAACUGCACUAAUUGGAAAUAUCCCUUGUGCUCUGACAGCAUGUCUGGAGGAAGUCUCCUAUUUGCGGCUUACACAGUGCUCCUUCUUCUUCUUGUUCCUUCCUCUUGUUCCCAAACCGCUUCCAAUAAUAUUACAGCUGAUAACUCUGAUUGUAUCCGUUCUUGUGGAAAUAUUAACAUAAGCUAUCCAUUCCGAUUGAAAGGAGAAUCUAAACACUGCGGCAACAAAAGCUUCGAGCUAUCUUGUGAGGCCAAGGGAAAUGGUACUACUCAUCAUGCAGUGCUAUCCUUGUUUUCAGGAAAGUAUUAUGUACAAGCAAUCAAUUACAAUAACUUCACAAUCCGACUUGUGGAUGUUGGUGUUCACAAGAUCAAGGACAACUACUUCUCCCACCCACUCUUCUCCUUGACCCCCUUCAACUUUUCUUAUUACUCCGAUUAUACAGGUCCUCUUCCUGAGUAUUACCAUAUAGAAUCAUUAAUGUCUAUAAUCUUCCUGAGCUGUGAAAUUCCAAUGAAUCCUUCCGAUCUCAUUGUUGAAACAGCUCCAUGCAUCAGUGGGGUCAACAACUAUUCUUCUUCCAAUUCUUCUUUCUCCAAUUUAACAACAUAUUCUUAUUUCAUACAAUUUCGGUUUGGGUAUGGCUCUGAGAAUGACCGAAGUUUACACAAUUUGCUGGAUUCCUGCAAAAUAACACUAACGGUUAUGGUGUCCCCUUCAACUGAGGAGCACAUGACGUCUUGCAAAGGAAUAUAUAAUGAAAUAGCGCAUGGCUUUGAACUCUCAUGGCUUCAUCAUGCAUGUAAAGUAAUGUGCAGAUCAGGGGAAUCUUGCAGGCUGAACCGCAACGACAAUGGAAUCAACUGCUUCCAACGCCGGUUAAAUUUAAUACCAAAAGGUUAGAUAAUUGCCAAACCUUUAAAUUAUAAAUUAUAUAUUUACUGUAGUGUCAAAUAUCAGUUUUAUCCACUUUGAUGACUAUGAUAGCAUGUUAAACCGUAAUUUCCAACCGUUACUAAGCUAAUGUUACAGUUUUCUUUUCAUAAUUUGUGUCUAACCAGAAUUCUCUUUAUGCUAAUGUUACUGUCUUCUUUUGCAAUAUAGUCCCUUGGUACGACGAGAUCAUAAUGUCCAUAAUCAAGAAAGGAGGUGAGUGGAUCCCUCAACUCUGUAAAUAGACGUUUACUUUUCUUUGGCCUUUUCGCUUGACUAACCACCUUAGUCAUUCCAUUGAUCGAUUGAUUUCUCUACUUCACCCGAUAUACAGGCUCUUCCAAUUUGAUCAGCCUUUCCCUAUGUAUAGUUACAGCUUCUGGGAUGUGCAGUCGCUUCCCAAGGACUAUAUUAUUAUUAUUUUGAUUGAGAUGGAUUUGCAAAGGACUAUAUUAUUAUCAUUAUUAUACUUCGCGUUCAUUAAUUCCAUUUUUGUGAACCAUGCAGCAAUAUACCUGGCAGCCAAAUUUUCAUUUGGUUUUUGUUGUUUAACUGCACUGCUAAUAUAUAAAUGGCGAAGGAGGCACUUGUCAUGCCAAUAAGGUACUCUUACUCCGACAUCAAAAAGAUGACCAGAGGUUUCAAGGACAAAUUGGGGGAAGGAGGCUGUGGCUCUGUAUACAAGGCAUGACUUUAUCAAUGAAGUUGGUACCAUUGGAAGGAUUCGUCAUGUUAACGUGGUGCGACUUAUUGGCUUCUGUGUUGAUGGUUCAAAACGCUCUAGUAUAUGAUUUCACGUCUAAUGGGUCUCUUGACAAAUACAUUUUUUCUCAACAAGGAGAUGUGUCUUUAAGUUGCCAGAAAAUAUUUGAAAUUGCACUUGGAGUGGCUCGUGGUAUUGAUUACCUCCAUCAAGGCUUGGACAUGCAAAUUUUGCACUUUGACAUCAAGCCUCACAACAUUCUUCUAGAAGAGGAAUUUUACUCCCAAGGUCUCUGAUUUUGGGUUAGCAAAGCUAUAGAAAUUGGAUAGGAACCAUGAGAUACAUUGCUCCAGAACUGUUCUACAAAAACAUUGGAGGUGUUUGAUACAAAGCCGAUGUGUAUAGCUUCGGAAUGCUAUUGAUGGAAAUGGCUGGUAGAAGGAAAAACCUGAAUGCAUGUAUAGAACAAUCAAGCCAAUUUAGCCAAAUCUACUUUCCGACAUGGGUUUCUGAUCAAUUGAAGGCAGGAAAGGACAUAGAAAUAGGAGAUGAUGCAACAGAUGAGGAAAAGAAGAUCAUAAAGAAGAUGAUGAUGGUGGCUUUAUGGUGCACACAAAUGAAGCCUAUCGAACGCCCUUCAAUGAAUAAAGUAGUGGAGAUGCUUGAAGGAGAAAUUGAGAGCCUCCAAAUGCCUCCAAGGCCUUUCUUAUAUCCACAACAAAUUCCUGCAGAUGAAGUUGGUGUGGACAAUCGAAGUCCCUGUGCAUCAGGUGCUUCAGAAUCUGAAGAGAUUACUUUGAUUGCUGAUGCAAAUGAAGUGAAUCAAUAUUAGUCACGAUGUGGAUCUAUGUAAGGGAAAGUUAGCAGCUCUACUCUGUAUUUGAUCAUAGCACAAAUAUUUUUACAUGUUGUAAUUGAUUUAAGCAAAUAAUUAGCCUCUCCUUUUGGUUAUUGUUUGAGAAACUGCCUGCCCGAAAUGCAAUGACUUGAACUUUGAUGACAAUUAGGUUUACACAAAUGAAUUGCCUAAAAGAAACAAUUCAUUUGUGUAUGGAUAUUUUGUCGAGUGGGCUUAUUAUGCCUGAACGGUAUUAUGUUGGGUUUUUAAAAAGCUGUGCAGUGGCAAAUAGCAAUAAUGAGAAUCCAGGUAUAGGGUAAGGUCCUUCUAGCAAAACGAACUGUGGAACAUAAGGUGUUGAGAACAAAGCAAAGGCAAAUAGACUGAGAGGAAAGUUUGUAUCAACCGCAAAGCAGGCAGCUCAAAAGUUUGUACCCUGCCCCUUUAUGACAUUUAUGCAUCUUCCCCUGUCCUCUGUUUUCUUCUUAAACGUCGUCAAGUUUCAGUUUGCAGACAGAGCGAGUAUAUUUGUCUGUACCUAUUUAUAGUUGCUCAAGUUAAAGAUGGCAUCAAUAAUGGAAAGAGAACUUCGGCCCUUCUCUUCUAAGCUUGAAGCAAGGGUUCAAAAUUAAACAAGAGCCUAUACGUCAAAUAAUCUCCAUAUCUGAAUUAGAAUCCAGUUCUACCGACAAUGACUAAACCAUAUAUAAGAGUUUACAGACCCAGGGCAAAGCUACAGACUUGGACCAAAGUGAAACUCAAACUCAAAAAGCAACGAAGAAAAAUUGGGAUUUCAAGCUAAAAGAUUGAAAAGAGCAAGCUACAUGACCGAACCACAGACAGGAACGAAGAAAAAACUUAAAAAACAUUAGCCUAAGCUGCACAAUCCACGCGGGCCGACCGUGGAGACCUUCGAAAGGGAAGUGCCAGUUUCACUAAAGUCUAAGUUCUUAACAUAGGAAUAUGUCAGACAAACUUGAUUAACAAAUAAAUUAAAGAAAAAACUGCAACUAAACCAAUCUGAUAAGUGGUAAAGUGGUAUAAUCUUCUCUUCCGACAUAGGUAACACACAUCACACAAGUAGACAUGUUAAAACUAAAAGUUACACUCAUUCCAUACACAGCUCGGUUAUUAGAUCAUUGAUCCCAUCCAUUUUCAAAUCCACUAGGAUCGGCAAAGCCUAUAGAUGUUCUAAACAACCACUCGUAAGGUGGAUUCAACGAGUUUAAUAACCAAAGCCAAAACAAGCAUGAGACAGAUGUUCUAAGCAACUACUCUGUUUCUUUCUAGUUUCUACUAAAUAAUGUUGCCUCCAUCCAUUUUCAAAUCCUCUAGGUCUAGGAUAAGCAAGCCUCCGUCAAAAAAAACCAAGAGAAAUUAAAGGCAAAUGAGCUCUACUUGACCUCUAUCAAACAUCCUCCUCGCACAGACGCACAGCUACUAAUUAUACAACAACACAUUCCUCGUUCCUAACUCGUCACAAUUUCAGAGACUUCAAUUGAAAAGUGAGAGAUUAAAAAAAGUUACCAUUUGCACCAGACGCAUUGCCCCCAUCUCAAACCCUAAAUUACCUUUAAAUAUUUUAUUGACAUUUUAUUCCACCACUAGUUAUCCCUACUAUUAUUGGAACUAGGCGGCUAUUAGGAGAAGAUGAUAGACCUAUAGAUAUUAUCUUAGAAGCACUCUAAGAGUUCGCCCUCCCUAUCCAAAAAAAAAAAAAUUACAAAGAUACCAUUUUGCCUUUACAUUUAACAAAAAAGAUAACGAAAUUGACGGUAGGACCAUUUGUCCUAACGAAAGUAAAGUUGAAGGACCACCGAAAUGAUUUUGGAAAUUCAGGCACCAAAAUGAGAAUGAGGUAAAAUUCAGGGACCAUUAGACCUAAAAUCCUUUAGAAUAUAAUAUUGAUUGAUUGACAUUCGCUUGACUUCGUAGUCGUUUUAUUGAUCGUUCUCUUCACUACUACUACAGGGGCAAUUAUUGACCUUAUUUAUAGGCACUUCCACCUUGAUAGACUUUUCCCUAUGAAUUUUGCCAACUAUUGCCGUGAUCAGCUUGUGGACUGUAUAAUUGUUUACCCGGGUAAGAGAAUACUGGUGUUGAUCUCACUGAAACAUUAUUCUUUAGAUUUAAAGCCACAAUAAAAAUUUAUGCUCUUAUGAGAACGAAACACUUACAUGGUUGAGAUGGGUUUGAAGAGGAGUAAUUAUUAUUAUUAGGGUUAAUUUCAGUUUGUUUAGAAAUAUUUUUAUUAUUUUUAAUGUUUUAUUAAUAUUUUAAGCAAUUUAAGUUUUAAAAGGUGAGUCAUAUAUGCCACAUUAACAACUAAAGAAAAUUUUAACACCGAAACCGGAUUGCAAAACACUGAAAAGCUUAGAGUACGUAAUCAUUAAAAUUAAGAGUGUGUGAGCAAACAUGUCUUAAGAGUAAGAGUUUAAGGUACUAAAUUGAAAUUAACCCAUAUUAUUAUUAUUAUCCUUCUUACUAAUUCCUUUUUUUGUGAACCAUCGGUAGACGUGAAAUAUUUAUCUCUCACUGUUGACGGUGGACAAUUGAAUAAGAAUGCAUGGCCUACGUAUUCUAAGGAAGACGAAGAACAAUUGCUGUAAAAGAACUCCCUCGGCAAGCAAUAAUCAGAAUAUCUUGCUCCAAUUGCAUGAGAUCUGUAGUUGCUCUCUCUUAAAUAAAGAGCUUAGCUGACGACGAUGGUAUCUCAAGCAUAGUCUAGUUGUCGCCAGUGCAUGAAAGAUCAAAGCCACGGAAGCCACAAUAGAUUGGCUGCCUACCUUUAAGUCGAAAUGGAAAUCGAAUGGCUGGGCCUUCCGGGCCACAUCUUGUCUCUCUGCAAUCUUGAAGGACUCCUCCACCAUUGACUACAUCUACCAGUCGUACAAUUAUCAUGAGUUGCAUGAGCAAGCACCAUAAGAAAUUCAUGAUGAGAACCAAAGCCACAGCAGCACCAAAAGAAAUUCAGGAUGUUUGAGUCCGUCAAUGGCGGGUGAAUCAUGCUUGUUCACCGGGUGGAUGGCUUCCCCGGUUGACUGUGUAACAUCCCGACUCCAAAUUUAAUUCCCUAUUAAAUUUAUUUAAGUGAAAUUACGAAUUUACCCUUGGGAUAUGGGUAUUUUAGUCAUUUUCUCAUUCGAAAAGAGUUUGGGACAGUGACUGGUAUUUUGGGUUGGUCGUACUGAGACGAGUCCGUAGACAUGCGGUAGGCUUGAAUCGGAGUUGUAACGAAGUUUUGGCGACCAAAAUAAGUUCAGUGGCAAACUUGUAAUUAUUUCAAAAAGAGUUGGGGUAAAAAUCUGAUUUUUGUUUCUUUCUCUCUCACUCUCUCUCUCUCCAUCCUCGUCGCGAACAGCCCCCUCCCCUUCGUUUUCUCACAGCCGCCACCCUCCAAGACUACCGUCGGCGCCACCGUCAACGACCGACCUCGAAACUGAUCCCGUUCGAACCACCGCUUCUCCCUCGUCCUUUCUCGACCAGUCUCAGCCAUCACUGUCCACUGUGCUCGCCGGAAUCAGUCGAAAAUGAGCCAGUUUUGAUAGAAUUUCUCACCGCUCGAUCUUUCUCCUCCGGAAACCAAUUCUGAUGGGUGAGGUAUGGUUUCUCAUCUAUUUUUCAAACUCUAGCUGUCUGUUGCAUAGGAUUGGAUCGAUUUUGCGUCUAGGAAACCGAUUUUGGAAUCUAGGUUUUGGCCGAAUUUCAAAGUAAAAUUCCUGUAGGUUGUCGUCCGAAUUGGACCUCCUCGUCGUUGAAUAAAGUGAUCCUUGCCUCGAGUAGUAGCUAGGGUGUGCGACGGUGUGGAGUUUUUCCGUCGCUGGAAAUUUUUCUACACACCCACGCGCUGCCGGCAUGUGGGCAAGGGUGGUGAAGCCACAUUUUGUCCUGUUGUAACCCGUAGGUUGUCACGAGCGCGUAGGUGUGCUCGGAUUUCAAUUCGGACAUCGUUUGACUAUCGAACGGAUUUCGCAUAUUGUGCGUUAUCCGGGUUCGAUAGGUUCUAACCGUUGGAUCGUUUUUAAAUUAAAAUAUGUUAAUCUAGGCACUCCUAGAAUCGUGUAGGAUUUCGCUGAUCGUGAAUCGGAGCCCCGGAUGUUCCGAUUCAAUAAUUCGAAUUUUAUGGGUUACGAUAACCAUCCAAUUAUGAGCGAUCCAACCGUCCCUUUCGGAUCACACCUGCAAGACGCAUUUUCUAAACUUUAGUCGGACCUUAGGAUAUCUUGUCCUACGUACACGCACCGGGAACUUGGGGAUUUAAGUAUUUAUUUUGUGAUUUCCGUUUCGAAGUGAUGUUAUAUUAAUUAAAGGUUCGUAUCUCGAAAUAGGUGCUCCGAUCGAUCGUACACAGCAGGCGGGACCCUCUCAGGGUCCGGCAGCUUGGGACUAUUUGUGAGUGGACUUAGUUUUCAAUCAAACCCAUGGUUUUAUUGAUGAAAGAUUUAUGCAUAUGUUUUAAAUGGUAUAUGGGAUAUAAUACAUAUUCGGUUGUUGAAUUUGAUGUUAUUAUAAGCUUUGGCAAUAUAUUUUGGAUUUUGACAUAUUUGAGUAUCGUGAGUAUGUUUAUAUGGAUUUUGGGAAAUUCUAUCUAUAUUGUCUAUAUGUGAGGUACUUAGGUUGUUGAGGUGAGAUUGUGGAAGAAUUUGAGUAUGAGGGGUUGUUGAGAGAAGAUGUAUGAUUACACUAUGUAAGUACCAUCCCCUAAUUACUAGGCUUCCCACACGUGGCGUUGGUAGUUCCGCUUGUGGGAAAAACAUGUGAUUAUUAGUCUCACACGUGGCGUUGGAAGUUCCGGCGUGUGAGACACUUCCCAUACGUAGCGUUGGAAUUUCCGGCGUAUGGGAAGAUUAUGUAUAUUGCUUGGAAUCAUCACACAUGGCUUUGGAAGUUUUGGUGUGUGAUGAUGUAGUCUGCCCCCGAAGGACUUAGUAUUAGAGUUACACGUGGCGUUGGAAUUUUCGGCGUGUGAGCUAUGGAGUUUCAUCCCCUGGUUGGAUUGCUCAUCCCUAGACGCAGGAUAAUACCUGAAAAUCCUGUAGGCUAGCCAAACAAUCCCCCAGUUGGAUUGUUUUCCCUGUACCUUGGUAGUGUGAUGAGUAUAUUGUACAUUUAUAUUUAUAUAUUUAUAUCUAUAUAUAGGUGUCAGUGUAAAGCAAUUAGAGUAUAUGCAGUGGGUUGGUAAGAGCAGUAUAAUUUUGGGAAAUAAGUUUAUGGAUUGAGUGAUUUGUGGUUUUAAAGGGUUUUGGAGAUUGAUGUUUUUGGAUCAUUAAAUAUGAAUUAUAAAUCUGCAUGUCUUGAGCAUUAUUUUUACACGGUGGGGUUAUUAUGUUGUUUUAAAUGCAAACUUUGUUUUUGUCCACUCACAUGUUUUCUGUUUUGCGCCUCCCAGACAGUAGUCACUCAAGGAGAGCUACAAGCUGUGUUCGGGGCUCGAACUGUGAACUUCAAUAGUUAGGCUUUGAGUAAUUUUCUUUCUACUCAACUGGUUGUUGUAAACUAAAUCUGUUAGAUGCUCUGUAACUGCCCAUGUUAGGUUUUACUUGUGAGGCCGGAGGCCAUUUUAGUAUGUAUUGUUGUAUGUUGAAACCAUGCUACUGGUUGGGAUUAUAUUGUAUUAUACAGGUUGAAUUUUGUUGGGUUUGUUCAAUUUACAGGGGAGAUUCUGCUAAAAUUUUGGUAGAAUGUCUCGGUUUUUAGUAAGUGGGCCAGCAUCGGGAUAAUGUCGAUAACAAGACGGAAUUCGUCCCGAUUUUCGAGAAAUUCCAAGACGAGUCCUGUCAUACUGGAGCCCUGACUCAAGUCAGGAUCAGCAAUUGGGUUAAACAGACCCUAGGCAGAUGGAUAACACAAAUUUAUGCCGUUACAAGUACAAAACACUUGCAGGAUUGAGAGGAUUUGGAAAGGAGUAUAUUAUUUUAUUCUCAUUCUUAUUAUCCUUCCUAGUAAUUCCGUUUUUGUGAACCAUGCAGCAUUAUACCUAACAACCAAAGCUUUAUUUGGUAUUCCAUUUGUAACUGCAUUACUAUAAUAUAAAUGGCGAAGGAGGCACUUGUCAAUGUAUGAGAAUAUAGAAGACUUCCACGGAGUAAUAAUAAUAAUUUCAUGUUAGUAAGGUAUACUUACUUAGACAUCAAAAAGAUGGCAAAAGGUUUCAAAGAUAAAUUGGGUGAAGGAGGCUAUAGCUCCGAAUACAAGGCAAAGCUCCGCAGUGGUCGCGUGGUAGCCAUCAAGAUGUUAGGUAAGUCCAAAACUAAUGGGCAAGACUUUAUCAAUGAAGUUGGCACCAUUGGGAGGUUCACCAUUUUAAUGUGGUUCGACUAACUGGCUUAUGUGUUGAUGGUUCCAAACGCGCUCAUGUAUAUGGUUUAUUGCAGUGAGUGUCUAUUUUUUGAAGUCGAUGCAGUUCUCUUUGAUUUUGAACAUGAGUAUUUUGUAUGGUUUUAUCUAUUAAAUAUGAAUAAGAAUAUUAUCGUUUCAUUUCAAUGGGUUUAUUUUGUAUAUUAUUAUAUUUUUUUUCACCUUCUACACGUUGAGUCCCAUAAUGAAAAUUCUUGGAUCCGCCAUUGGCUGUUGCACAACGCGCUUUUUAAAAUUUUUAAUAAAUAAAUCCUGGCCAAAAUUGCAUAUCCAUUAAAAAAUUCCUGGAUCCGCCAGUGAAUACGGGUACAGAACGUUCAAGCCAAUUUAGUCAAAUCUACUCUCCAACAUGGGUUUCUGAUCAGUUGAAAGAAGUAAAGGACAUAGAAAUAGGAGAUGAUGAAACAAAUGAGGAAAAGAAUAUCGUAAAGCAGAUGAUGAUGGUGGCAUUAUGGUGCGUACAAAUGAGGCCCAGUGAACACCCUCCUGCAAAUGAAUAAAGUACUGGAGAUGCACGAAGGAGACAUUGAGAACCUUCAAAUGCCUCCAAGGCCUUCCUUAUAUCCACAACAAACUCCUGCAAAUGAGGUUGGUGGGGACAAUCCAAGACCCUGUGCAUCAAGUGGUUUAGAAUCUUUGGUUGCGGAUGCAAAUUAAGUGUUUUAAUAUUAGUCAUGAUGUGGCUGUAUGUAAGGGAAAUUUAGCAGCUCUACUUAAGGGGCAGUUAAACAUGUUUUUCGUAUUUGACCAUAGCACAACUAUUUUUAAUUUACAUGUAAUUGAGUUAAGCAAAUAAUUAGCCUCCGCCUUUGGUUAUUAGUAGCUAUGUUGAUGUGCAAAGAACAGGAUAGACAUUGUUUGAGAAAAUACCAAUGGAACUUGAAGCUAUUAGAAGAAGCAUAGACUUUGUUUGAGAAAAUGCCUGCCAAUUAGGAAUGCAAUGUAAGGUCCUUCUAGCAAUAAUGAGAAUGAAAAUACGAACAAUGGAAAAUAAGGUGUUGAGAUUUUGACCCCAAAAAGAAAGGUGUUGAGACCAAAGCAAAGGCAUAUAGACUGAGAGGAAAGUUUGUAUCAACGGCAACGGCGAAAGCAGGCAGCGCAGCUUGUAUCCUACCCUAUCCUUUGUUUUCUUCUUAAACCUUGUUAAGUUUCAGUGUUGCGGACAGAGCUACUAUAUUUGCCUGUCCCAUUAAUAAUGGAAACCAACCUUCAGCCCUAUACGUCAUAUAAUCUCAAUAUUUGAAUCUAGUUCUACCGAGUACAGACCCCAGAGCAAGCUACAGACUUAGAUUGAUAAUGGCCAGUGGGUUUGAAGUGAGCAAUUUGGGCUAAAGGAUUGAAGACAUUGCUAUUGAAACUAAAAGUUACACUCUCGUUCCAUGCACAGCUCUGUUAUUAGAUCAUUGAUCCCAUCCAUUUUCAAAUCUGUUAGCAUCGGCAAGCCUAGAUGUAACCAACUACUCGUAAAGUGGAUUCAUAGAAUUUAAAUACCAAAGCAGAAACAAGCAUGAGACAGAUGUUCCUAAGCAACUGCUCUGUUUCUUUCUAGUUUCUACUAAAUAAUGUUACCUCCAUCCUCCUACAAAGUCAAAUGAGCUCUACUUGCCCUCACUAUUAAUAUAUAUUGUGUUAAUUAAUCUCUGCUAAUAUUUUAGUCUAUUAUGCAACCAACAACAACAAAUAAUUAAAUAUUAAAAUAUUUAUUGGGCAGGCCUAGCCCAGCCCAACUAACCCAAUGUAGCCCAAACCAACCAAACUAAAUUCUUCCAUACAAAUUCAAGCCCUAAUGGCUCUGUUUGUGUGGGCGGGCUUGGGCCGAAGUGCUAAAACUUAUACCCAACCCAAGUUAGCCCAAAGAAAUGCUUAAAUCAAAAAAGCCCAACGAGGCCCAAUGAUAGAAGGCCAUACGAUCCACUUUCCAUCAAUAAUUAAACUCUCUCUCUCUCUCGCUCUUCAAUGUAUUCAUUUGUCUAGCAAUUAUUUUCCUUGAAAGUUAUAGUCUUCAAUGCAAUUGAAUGGGGCAUCUUUUACUCAAAGCUACAUCAAAAGGCCAAAAGUUAUUUUUAACCGAAUUAUUGGAGUCAUAAUAUUUCUCUUCUUCAGCUUUUUGAAGGACUUUUCCUAUUUAGAUGGGCGAUAGUACUAAACUUACACACACUAAACGGAUGCUAGAAUUUGAACCCAGAACCAUAUAUUAGGGAGCAAUUACUCUAAAUCAGUAGGUCAUUUGCUUUCCUUUUUGAUCUAGUAAGGGAAAAACGAGCCUUGUUUUUUUUGCGUAACCUAUGUGGCUCUUUGAUGUUAAAGUCUGUUAGCUUAAAAAGUCCAACCACCAUUGAAACCCCAUCAGUCUUUUCUUACUUUUUUGUUAUUUUUUUAAAAUAAUUUAAAUAAAGAUAAAGGGUAACAUGUUUUAUCAUUAAGGCUAUAUGUGGACUCAAAUUGCUUCCGUGAAGUCCAAAUAAUCAUUACUGCAUAAAAUAUUUCCCGAUUUGAGGAGUGGGUUGGAGAGAAGCGUAAGUUGACUAUUGUGGAACAACCGUUGAAUUUUCAUUGCACUUUCUUUGUUUGUUUUUUCUUUUGUCCCUUUUUUCUUUGGAAAUAGGAUAAGAACAAUCAGACAUGAUUUUCUUCUUUGUUUGUUUUUGUUAUAAAAAUAACCUGGAAUAUGUGCGAAUAUUGAGCUGCACGUAAAGUAGAUGAGACACAGUAUUUAACGAGGUUCGGCUAUGCCUACGUCCCUGGAGAGCAGCAAUAGUAACUUUUCCACUAUGUAAAAUAAUAGGGCUACAACUUUAGUGUUUACAAUAUGUGUGGCUCACUGAAUUUUCUCUCUAGGAGAAUUUCUUUCUGCUCUCUCUUUCCUCUUUCUUCCUUCUCUUCCUCUUGUCUCUUUCCUUUUCUCUCUUUCCUCUUUUCUCUUUCCCCUUCUUUCUUUCCUCUUCUCUUUCCUCUUCUCUCUUCUCUCUUUCCUCUUCUUUGUUUCUUUCCAUUUCUCCCUUUCUCUUCUCUCGGAGGUGUACAUGCAAAGGCACAAUAAUGUCUUAUUUAUAGGCUAAGGAAAUGAUGCCCGUGAAUGUACAAUAAGAGAAAGUUGCGGACAAACGUUACCCAAAGUCUCCAAAUGAAUAGUUAGUGGGCUCCACACAAAAACUUUUACAACACUCCCCCUUGAGACCACAAAUGAUAUGUCAGUUGCUUCAUCAGACUUUGCUUGGUGAAAACCUAGUAAGGUAGAGAACUGAUGGAAGGAAGAAAGAAGAGUACAACAAUCUGUAUAGCAUACUUCUGGAUGCUCCCCCUGAUUAAUAUCUCCCCCUGAUGUCUUCAUAACUAUCUUUUGGAGUGAGAAUCUUUCGGAGUGAGUGAAUGAUGUAGCCACCAACAAUUCAUAUAGUAAAUAUAUUUCCAGUGAGCUAUCUCUAUGUAAAUCAUAGAAAUUUUCAGAGUCCGCGUUUCCAACAAAACCUGGGCUAUUUGUAAGAUCAUAUGAAAGAAUAUGCCCAUACAUGGUGUUAUGCGGAGAUAGCAUCAAAUAUACCUCACAUCAUCCCAAAAUGAUGGUGAUGGAGUUGAGCCUUAUCUGGAAAAUAUGAUGUCCGGUCCAAUAUACUUCCGAAAAAUCCUUAAAGUGCCCAACGGAUAAUCCUCAUAAAAAUGCUUCAAUAUUUUCUUAGUAUAAGCAAGAAUCUCGUUGGCAUAAUGCUCGAUCUUUAAGUCGAGACAAAUAUUUCUGGAACUCUUGAGAAGCUUUAUUGUGUUGCAAACACAUUAUAAUCAAUGUACUCACUGAGGUAAUUUAUGCAUAUUAAUAUUGAGUACAAAUUUUGUGCUUCAGGCACAUGUCAUUCAGGGACUUGCUUCAUGCAAUUUCAAUCCUUUCAAGGAUUUUGUUUAAAGGGAUUAAACUUUAUGACACAUUAUAUAACUUUAACCCAGCUAUUUAUACAUCUUUAGGGAAUCACUUCAGGUGAUAUGCUCUGUGCAUUUAAUAACCCUUAAAGAUAACAUGUUGGUCUCCGUAAAUGUGCAAUAAAGGGGCACAAUUGAAUCUAUAAAUAUGGAGAAAACCCAACAUUCCUUGUUUCUGCCAGAAACAUUGUGUCAUACAAAGUAGGUAUAUUCCCUUUUAUUCCGAACACCCAAGUAUAACUUUCAGUAUUGACAAAUUUGGGGUUCGUACUGUGGGUUUGUUCUUUCACGUUCAUUCUUAUCUAUAAUGGAAUUACCUCAUUCCAUUUUGGCCAAUGAUAUUGUCGACAUUUAAUAAUUGAACGUGGUUCCAAUCAACACAGCCCAUUGAUGAUUUGAGUAGCUACUCCAAAAUCAAAAAUUGUCAUUCAUCAAUUCAUGAUCCCACCAUUCUCAUGUGCAUGCGCAUGCAUCAAUUAUAAGCAUUUCUUUGCUUUUGGGUACCCAAGCCACUGCAGGGGGCUUUUAUUAUGUGAGAAUGUGGAUUAUAACCUCCAAUGGAGCGUUAUUUUAUAGUAGGGCGUGGAUAAUCUCCAUUUAGGGAGUUGGAACAUUUAGAACCCAUAUAUCUGUCAUGCUGCAGGCAUGCCACAGAUUAAUACAUACAUGUCAAUUAAUUUAUGGGACUUUAACCCAUAUUAUGGGACUUUAACCCAUAUAAUUUGCUACGCAUUAGGCGUGCAUAAUAUCAAUAUUGACAUGUCAAAGGAUUGUCCUUUCGGGACUUCAAUCCACAUCAUUUGCUACGCAACAGGCGUGCAUCAUAUUGAUCACUGCUAUACCCAUAUUCUGUUCUUAUGGGACUUUAAUCUGUGCAGUGUAUUAUCAAUGUAUCCAACUUGCAAUCUGUAAAAUUUGCGUUAAUAAUUCAUGGAUACAUACAAGCCAUUCUUUUGGAACGGACUUAUCUCCCCAUUUGGUUACCUUUCAAGAUAAAAUAUCAAAUAGGUAUAUAAGCAUAAAAUAACACAAGUAUUGCUUACAUCCUUAGGUAGGAGAAACUUUUCUCAAGUAUCAUUCAAGCUCGUAUCGGCCCAAUAAAUAUAAAGUAUCGCUUGAUGAUCUAGUUAUAUCCUGCAAGAGCAAAAUCACAACUCUUUUCUCUGUCAAAAACAAAUAACCCUCAGAGUUAGGAUCACUCCAUGGAUUCUUUCUUCAGAUGUUCAUUCUAAAGAAAUAAAAUCUCUUAUGAACAGAGAGUUAUAAAAAGAGAAAAAAUGCAAAAAUAAUGUGAUAUUGAUUGCAAGAGAAGGUAAGCAAUCAAGGAAGGAAGCUGGUGGGAGCAGACAAUAAGCUCUCAUAUCUCCUAGUCUAGAAGGACUUCCGGAGAUUAGAGCAUAAGAUCGCCUUCACAGUUUCCUGAUGUAGCGGAAACGUGAUCAGGGAUAGUCUUGCUUCCUGAAUGGAUGAUCAGAGAUAGUUUUGCUUCUCGGGCAUAUUGAGUGCUCACUGAUAAGAAAAAUAAGUAGAUAUCGCAUCACUAGGUAUGGAGUAAACUGGAUGUCUUCUACAAAGAAAAUUUCGUUAGUAACACAUUUAUACACAAAUAGAAUGAAUAGGUAGAACCGGUGAAUUUCAAAUUAACCAUAGGAAAAUUGCGAGAUUCUCGGGAUACUUUUGAAAAAGUAGCUCCGUGAAAUCCGUAAAGCAAGAUCAGCUUUGACGAAAAUAAUACUUGAAAACGCCGAAAGUGCCGACAGGCAUUAUCAGAGGCCACGUGAAGUUUUGGACUCUGGGAAAGAAAAAGAUAAUAUGGGGAUUCGAGAAGAUAUUGGGAUCCUGGAAAUGUUGCCACAUUUUCGUCUAUAGAUAUUGCAUUUGCAAAACUUGAUUGGAGCAACUGCGUUUCAACUCAACUUCCUUCAUUUUCUGAAACUUUAGUUUUCCUAAGACUUUCUUCGAAACCUUCUUAAAAAAAUGGCUUCCUUCAGAGACUUCCAGAACAUAAUGUAAUUUUAUAGGAUUUACAGGGCCUGCACCUUCAUUGCAGGUGGAAAAAAUCUAUCUGUUGUAUGUUCCUGUAAUAAUAAUUGCGCACAUUCUUAAACUUGCACCUGUGGUUUUUACGUCUUUUCAAAAUGACGGUUUGGAACCUUGUGCCUUAUAGGUUCAAAUAACCACAUUGUCUCUCCCAAAUUGCAUGGUAGCCCGGAACUUUUGGCCUGGGCACAAACUCAGAAUUUAUUUGCCCUUUUCAAAUGGACAUGAAAUGUGAAUUGAGUAAAAGCCAUGAUAAUAUCGCAAUAUAGUAGUGAAGAGCAUUAACUACUAUAUACCCACAACUUCAAGUUCAGGAUCUCUCAUAUAUUUGGAUCCAUGGGCUUCCGGCCCAGAUAUAACAAAAUAUGUGGGGAGCCUCAAUUCAUUAUUUGAGGUUUAUAUUGAUAUUAUCCAUUUCACGGUGUAUUCUUAACAACCGGAAUUCACAAAAUAUAUUUUUUCCUUGAGGUGUCGAUUAUAACAAAAUCGAACUUUAAAUUCAUCAUCUUCUUAUGCCAAAGAAAUAUGUGGCAUACCACAAUUUGCAAUAAUACCUCAAGGGUUGUCCAUUUAAUUGUUGGAACUUCAAGUUCUCAACACUGUUAAAUUUUGAACUUCAGGCCAAAGCCACAUAUUCUCAUGGUAUGGACAUUUUUACAAUUUUCUGUACAUAUUUCGGGACUUCAAGCCCUUACAUAAUUGUCCAUAUUUUGAGGAACUUCUGGCAUCUCAUUUAAUUGCUCAUCCAUGAGUUUAAGGAACUGCAGGUUCCCUUUUGUAUAUAGUGACGGUUUACCCAAAAUGGUUCAUAUUUAUGCAUACGUCACUAUUCAUGUGAAUAUUACUAUUCAUGUGAAUAGUACUAUUCAUCAAGUCAUGAAUACUUAUCUAUUCAUCUGCCAGUACAGUUAUCAUCAAUGUGUACGGCACCAUGAAACUGCAGGUUCCCUUUUGUAUAUAGUGACGGUUUACCCAAAAUGGUUCAUAUUUAUGCAUACGUCACUAUUCAUGUGAAUAGUACUAUUCAUCAAGUCAUGAAUACGUAUCUAUUCAUCUGCCAGUACAGUUAUCAUCAAUGUGUACGGUACUAUGAACCAAUACGGUACUGUUACAUCAUUAAGGAACUCUAGGUCCUUAUUUACAUGUCAGGGAUCAAGGACCCUUAAGUCCGAUCACAUGUUUACAAAUACAGUACCGGAGAGACUGCCAGCUCUCAUAUUAAUAUCAUCAUCAAGGAUCUUCAAGUCCUGAUGUAAUUGUAUGAUGAGGAUCAAGGAACUUCUGGUCCUGAUCUGCAUACUGUAAAAACUCAUCAUACAGCACAAUUAAUCCAUAAAAUAAAUUGCUGAUAAAUAAAUUACUGGUAUGGACGAUAAACCCGCACCAUACUUUAAAUAAAUGUAAAUGUGCGGUAAAAUAAAUUCAUAAAUUAAAUUGCUUGCUGUAUGGACGUUAAUCCCGCACCAUACCUUAAAUAAAUUAAAUAGCUUGCUGUAUGGACGUUAAUCCCGCACCAUACCUUAAAUAAAAUUAAAUGUGCGGUAAAGUAAACGUGCUUGUAUGGGCACUAAUUCUGCUCCAUACAUUUAAAUAAAAGCAAAGGCGUGGACGAUAAACCCGCACCACCCUUUAAAUAUUGUCGUAUGGGUAAUAAACCUACACCAUACCAUAAAUAAAAUAAAUGUGGGAAUAAAAACCACCACUAAAAAUAUAAGAAAGUGAAAAUUACUGUAGGAAGCUUUUCCAACCCCCCUUUUUUUUCUUCAUUGGAAUCUUAUCAACACCAUGAUUCAUUAGUUUGAAAGCUAGACAAAUUAUGUUGGCUUUUCUUCUUUACAUCAACAUAAUGGUUAGUAGUAUAAAUAAUAGUGCAGUACAAAAAUUAUACAUGAGAGCUUCUCGUGCUGAUAACGUGUUAUAAAAAUAACCUGGAAUAUGUGCGAAUAUUGAGCUGCACGUAAAGUAGAUGAGACACAGUAUUUAACGAGGUUCGGCUAUGCCUACGUCCUCGGAGAGCAGCAAUAGUAACUUUUCCACUAUGUAAAAUAAUAGGGCUACAACUUUAGUGUUUACAAUAUGUGUGGCUCACUGAAUUUUCUUUCUAGGAGAAUUUCUCUCUGCUCUCUCUUUCCUCUUUCUUCCUUCUCUUCCUCUUGUCUCUUUCCUUUUCUCUCUUUCCUCUUUUCUCUUUCCCCUUCUUUCUUUCCUCUUCUCUUUCCUCUUCUCUCUUCUCUCUUUCCUCUUCUUUGUUUCUUUCCAUUUCUCCCUUUCUCUUCUCUCGGAGGUGUACAUGCAAAGGCACAAUAAUGUCUUAUUUAUAGGCUAAGGAAAUGAUGCCCGUGAAUGUACAAUAAGAGAAAGUUGCGGACAAACGUUACCCAAAGUCUCUAAAUGAAUAGUUAGUGGGCUCCACACAAAAACUUUUACAACAGUUUUUUCUUUUGUCCCUUUUUUCUUCGUUUGUUUUUCCUUUUGUCCCUUUCCGUGUGUGUGGUGCUGUGGUGAGGAAAUAUACCACACAGGUAUAUGGUCAAGGUCUUCCUCUACAUUGCCUGCUUAGACCUGGAUUCUUGCUUCUCUAGACUUAAAAGUCUUUCUUUUGGAAAUUUCACACCUAAAAGGAAGACUUUUAAGUCUAGAGAAGCAAGAAAGAGAAGUAGUUGCCUGCAGAGAGCAAUUAAGCUUGACUUUGACUUUGUAAAGUUCUGCUUUUCUACUUUCUUGUUGGUCCCAUGCAUAUGGCCCCAAUUUACACGUUAUAACCACUAGUGACGCAACUCCCUAGCUACAGUCACGAAUACUUAAAUAUCUUAUGUGUUUUUCAUUAUUUUGAUUCAUGUUCCUCUCUUGAUUGGUUUCUUAAAUCCACGUCUGGGUAUUCAUUGAUUCAUGCCUACAUUUUUUUUGUCACAAAGGAAUUUCAUGGGAGAGCUGAAAGGGUAGAAAGUAAGUAACAAGCAAAUUCUUAACAAAGAUGAGUGGUCUAAGGAGGUGGUAUACAGAGCCCAUUCCGAAUACUAUGAUUCUACUGCCAACUAAUUAAUGCGGUCUUUUUUUAUUUAUAAAAAAGUAUUAUGGAAUUCAAAUGACAGGACCCGAUCCCAAUUCCACUUUGAAAUUCGAACCAAGUCCUGUGCGUGUCCGACACCUGGCGAAUGUCGAGCACAAAUGACCUUUUUACCCUUCCUGUUACAAUUACUAGUAAAACUUCCCUUAGACUCCUGCCGAAAAUUCGGCAAAGUCUCCCCUAUAUUUUGUCUAAACCAAAAAUCUUCCACCUGUUAAACAAGCAAAUAAUUUUCCACCAACUGCCAGAAUAAAAUAACCAAGCAUUCACCAGAUCAAGUUUCCCACUAAAACGAGAUAUCAGAGCAUUUUCUACUAAUUUACAAGAUUUCAAGAACUUUUACAAUAAAAUCCUACGUUUCUUGGUGGUGCGGAAGCUAGGAGUGGCCCGGUGGUGGAUGUCAGCGCACUUCUACAGCAUGGGGGCGAAAACAAGUUUGAAAAUGUGAGUGGACAAAAAAUAAUGUUCUUGAAAACAGUUUAUAAUCAGAAUAACCCCCAUGGUAAAAAUAACUUGAUGAGUAAGGCUAAAGUUCAACCGUGUUUAAUAUAAGGUAUUCAUCUAACUAUAUAUAAAUGUAUGUAUAUAAACUCGUAAAACUGAACAAUUAUAUGGAGAUAUAAAACAUGCACGAACAUUGAGGAAACUGAUAUAAAAUGACUGAAAGCAAUAGCUCUAUAAAAGUACUCAAAUUCCUUUAAACUACCACCUAAAUGUACCCCUGUAAAAUCCUUCAAAUCCCCUGGCAGGUCUCGGCGACACAAAGUCUAUCCGAGCCGCAAACUGGCAGGAUUCAGGGGACUAUGGUCAGCCUGAUUCGCCGGCAGGUCUCGAUGACACCAAGUCAACUCGAGCCGCUCUAGCAAGAUACAGGGGACCGUAGUCAGCCUGAGCCGCAAAUCCUGGCAGGUCUCGGGACACCAAGUCUGCCGAGCCGCAAAUCCUGGCAGGUCUCGGGGACACAAAGUCAGCCGAGCUGCAAAUCCUGGCAGGUCUCGAGGACACAGAGUCAGCCGAGCCGCAAACCCUGGCACUCACGGUCCGAGCGUCCCCGAAACUAGUGAGGCAAUGUCAAGUGCACUGACAGACUGUAAAUAGACUGGAUGUCCGUAGACAUCGGUCCACCUGAGAGUAAUCACCAAAAACGGGUACAUGGUGGUUUUAAAAUAACUAUUUUUAGAAAAGUCUGAUAAUUAUCCGUAAUAUGAUUUAUCUGAGCUAAGCUGCUAUUUCUGAAAUAUAAAUCUCAAAGUCUGCUGGUUUCCACUUUUUAGCAUGUUCAACUAAGCAGCAUAGAAAUAAAGAUAUUUUACGAUGCAAUUCAUGCUCGGAAAACAUGCAAUAAUACUUAUUCAAGAUCAAAUAUGAAAUUUAAUUAUAAAAAUCGUUUAGAAAAGAAAAGUCCACUCACUGCUGGUCCGAGCUAGUUGGACCCUUUGAAGGUCCCUCCUGUGGUUCUGCCGGUCCUCUGGUGCCUAAUUACCCAUAAAGAUUAAAUUAAUAAAACUGCUCAAUAAAAGAAUUAAAGUAAACACCCUGCCCCCGGCUCCUAGAAAUGCGUGUACUCAUUUUAAAGUCACUCCUAUGCCCACUUUAGCCUUUCAGACAAUUCGAACGGCCUUGAAAGACCUGAAGCUGUUCCAAGCGAUAAACUGUCAGACCGGCCGAUCCGGAACCUCGUGGGGUCACGAUCCCCGAUGGCCAAUCUGGGAUUCUCUAAAGGUUCCUUACAGAGAAAGACCCAUGUCCUGCGAGUUUGGUCCAAAACGGACGGUCGGAUUAGCCAAAAUUGCAUUAGCGCUUAAAAUCCAAACUCUAGCCCCAGGGUUCGCGAUUUCGGAGUAUCCGGGACUCCGAUUCGCAAUCCGUCGAAUCCUAUACGAUCCUGAAAUCAUGUAGAACGACAUAUCUGAAUUUGGGUGCGAUCCAACGGCUUGACGGUACAGCACACGGGUAUCGCACAAUAUGAAAAAUCCGUUCGGGGCUCAAACGGACUCCAAAUUGAGAUCCGCGAAAGCCUACGCGCUCGUGACAACACGAAGAUUGCAAAACUACUCAGAGUCACUUCACUACCCUCACCCACGCGCCGCCACACGCGCGGGCAGCGAUGGGUGUCUAAAGCGAUUUCGGCUCGCCGGAAAAACUUCAAAUCACGGCUCCAAACUCUUACCCUAGGUAAAACACCAUAUUUGAGCCACUUUUGUUCUUGGACCUACCCCAAAAAGUGACUGGAAGUGGCCCAAAACAGAGACCAAAAAUUGGCUGAAACUUCAAGUUCAAGAAUCCAAUGGCUACACCACAAAUCGAUCUAAUCCGACCCAACAGGCAGCUAUAACAGCUCGAUAGGUUCAAGAUCCAUACCUGGGUCGACGGAAAUGGUGGCCGGAGGAGGAAGAUCGGAGGCCUUGAAGUUUCGGUGAGUUUCCGUCGUUCUUUCGCAGUUUCCGGCCAGCACAGGUCGUCGGCGGGCGGGGGAUCGGUCGGGAAAGGUAGGGGACUCGACGGCGGUUCCAUCUCCACCGGUCCCGUGGCCGGUGGUGCCCUGAGUCUGCGCCAGCAAGCUCUGGAAGGCGGCGGCCCCUUUUUUUUGCGCGAGAAAGAGAGGCUGGCUGGUUUUAUAGAUCCAACUUCGAGAUAUUUACGGUUAUGCCACUAAGACUCUUUUGACCAUAACUCCUUCAUUACAACUCCGAUUCGGGCCCACUACAUGUCUAUGAACUCAUUUCACCGUGCUUUACGCAACGGUGUAAGUGGAAUUGUCAAAUUCCUCCUCGAUCAAAAAGUCAUCUUUUUCUUAAUAAAAUAUUCCGAUGGCAAAAUUAUCUUUUCGCAUAAUAAAAUAUUCCUUAAUUUUGAAUUUUAGGUUUGAGUUAUUAUAUCAAAUCUAUGCGAAAGUUUAUAAAAGUCUAUAAUAAAGUACAUAAAAGUCAUUAAAACUACUUUGUGAAGUUUAAUUAUAAAAGUCAUUCACUUUAAAAAGUCUAUAAAAGUCUUUAUAAGUGUAGAUUGAAUACAUCCAUUAAGUUAAAGAUCGAUUCGGAGUUUACCAUAAACUUGGUUGUUUUUGCUCCAAAAACUCACAACCAAAAAAAUAGGGCGCUCACAGCUUCGGGAAAACACAAAUACAAACCAUUUACAAAAACAACGUUGCGCAGCAGUCACUGUUUUCUUUGUAACUUGAUACAAAUAAAAGGAAAUGUGAAUAAAGGACUUCAACCUGUACAAGAUUAAACAGAAAAAAUAUGUAGAGCUAAUUAAUUAUCAUUUGCUUAAUGAUCUCAGCAUCUUACAACAAGCAAAUCUCACGUCCAACUCGGAACUGAGAAUACUGAAAGAGAAGCAGUCGGUUGCAGAGAGUAAUUAAGUUAAGCUAGAUCAGAUUUUAAUUAGUUUAGCAAUUGUACUAGCUGACUUGACUUGACUAUAUUGUUAAAUUAACCUAAACGAUUGGUCAGCGUUGUAUUAACUUUUUUUUUUUUUGGGAUAUCUAGCAACUACAUAUUAUGUGGUGUUAUAUCAGAAGUGGAGGAUUCGGUGGUGACACCCUAGCUAGGUAAAGAUAUUCAAUUCGUUAUAGUGUGGCUAUUCCGAAAGCAAUAUCUUACAACUAAAGAAUAAAUUCAUAUUAUAUGUCAUCUUUUAUAAUUUAAAUCAAAAUUAAAAAGUAACAGGUUUUAUCAUAUUAUAAUUCAAUGUGGGACUUGUAUUUCUUCUUUGAAGUCGUUAUAACUCAUUUCAUCAAAUUAAUGCAGAAAAAAUUGCUUCCUCACUUGAAUAUAUGGGUUGGAAAAGCAUUGUGGAGAUUUCAGGCCAACUAAAUGGUCCAAGUCUCUCGUUGUUUCAGCAUGUCUACAAGAAUAAGUAGAUAAGUACCCUCUCAUGCAGUAUAACAGUUGUGUUUGAAGUUUUGAGCACAAUACGUGGACUCUUCUACACCAUUUGGACUAGUUUAUUGUCAUGUUGACGGUAGUGGACCAAGCAUCAUUUUUUUGGAUAUCUAAACUACACCACCAUUCAAGUACUAAGGGGCUAAAAUCUAUAUGGGUUUACUUCACAAUGUCAUCACAUGAUCGAAUUAUUCAAUUUUUAGGUCAUCAUCAUUUAUAAGAAGUAUUGAGUUCAUCUAUUUAUUUGAGUAACUUUUUGUAAGAUGACAUUACGGAGGUCAUCAUCGUUUAUAAGAAGUAUAAAGUAAUAGCUAAUGUUGUAAUAAUUUGAUAAUAAGAUGUUAGAGCUUUUGGAUAAAACUUAAAAAUAAUAAUUAAGUAGAGGGAUUCAUAGGAAGUAUUGACAUACUCUCAUCUUACUUUUUUGUUAUUUUUUUAAAAUAAUUUAAAUAAAGAUAAAAAGUAACAUGUUUUAUCAUUAAGGCUAUAUGUGGACUCAAAUUGCUUCCAUGAAGUCCAAAUAAUCAUUACUGCAUAAAAUAUUUCCCGACUUGAGGAGUGGGUUGGAGAGAAGCAUAAGUUGACUAUUGUGGAACAACUGUUGAAUUCUCAUUGCACUUUCUUUGUUUGUUUUUUCUUUUGUCCCUUUUUUCUUUGGGAAUAGGAUGAGAACAAUCAGACAUGAUUUUCUUUCCGUGUGCGUGGUGCUGUGGUGAGGAAAUAUACCACACAGGUAUAUGGUCAAGGUCUUCCUCUACAUUGCCUGCUUAGACUUGGAUUCUUGCUUCUCUAGACUUAAAAGUCUUCCUUUUGGAAAUUUCACACCUAAAAGGAAAUUUCCUUCGAGUUUAGCGAAGAAAACGGUCUAUUCGCUUGAAAACAAUAUAUAGACUAAUUUAUUGUCAAGUUGAUGGGAGUGGACCAGAAUCAUUUAUUUGGAGAUACAAAUUUCAAUGGCUCUAUGCUUAGCCCGGUUUAUAGGGCUAAUAAGAAAAAAAUUAGCCAUAUCAAAAAUCGUUUCUUCAUUUAAUUAUUAUUUUGAAAUUUUUUAUUCUUUGUAUAAGUAUUGUGUUCGUCUAUUUUUUAAUUAUUUUAUACCACAAUUAGAUGACUAAUGAAAAUUUAGCUAACUUUUUAUAAGGAUGAUAUUUGAUUCACCGCCUAAAAAAUAACGAUUCAGAUCAUUUUAAUAAUAUUGUGAAGUGGACUCCAACACUUUGUAAGCAUUGUAUUAAUUUUAAUAAUGGAUUGUGGUGUAGGGUUUCUGAUCUAAAUAAUUUUCAAACAACUUCUGGAAUACUAACAUAAUAUCAUGUAAGUUAGGCUUAGCAGUACACUAAAGCAUUACAUAUUUACAUGGACCAAGAAAGAGAAGUAGUUGCCUGCAGAAAGCAAUUAAGCUAGAUCAGAUUUUAGUUUAGCAACUGUACUAGCUGACUUGACUUUGACUUUGUAAAGUUCUGCUUUUCUACUUUCUUGUUGGUCCCAUGCAUAUGGCCCCAAUUUACACGUUAUAACCACUAAACCUUUUUCUAUUUUAGAUUUUGUCUUAUUAAUCACCUAAAAUUUGGGGGUGUAAGUAUGAUGAAUUUUAAUGACUUCAAUGAAAUUAAAAGUGAGGUAUUUAUUUUAGAUUUUUAAAGAGUUUAUAAAAAUUUACCAAAGUCUGACCAAGACACUCAAUUCAUGACUUCUAGUGAGUAUAUGAUCGAUAUACAAAUAGAUGGCUCGCCUCAAUAGUGACGCAACUCCCUAGCUACAGUCACGAAUACGUAAAUAUCUUAUUUGUUUUUCAUUAUUUUGAUUCAUGUUCCUCUCUUGAUUGGUUUCUUAAAUCCACGUCUGGGUAUUCAUUGAUUCAUGCCUACAUUUUUUUUGUCAUAAAGGAAUUUCAUGGGAGAGCUGAAAGGGUAGAAAGUAAGUAAUAAGCAAAUUCAUAACAAAGAGGAAUGGUCUAAGGAGGUGGUUUGAGGAUGCCCAACCACCAUUGAAACCUCAUGAGAAUCACAUAACAUGAGUAUAUGGUCAAAGUCUUCCCCAAUAAUCAGAGAUGGAAAAAAGAGAAGUGAAAUAAUUAGCCAAAUAGUAUCGGUGGACAAAAAUUCAAGCAUUCACACACUGAAGAAAGAAAAGGGCACAUUGGAGUGGCAGCACAAUGAACCCCCUCUUAAACGCUUUACGUACGAAGUUCUGUUGAUUUUUGUUGAGUUCAUUUCUAGUGGGAGUGACAACACGUUACACAAUAGGUCUCCCAAUUUACACGUUUUACGUACAAACUUCUGCUUUUCUAUUUUCUUGUUGGGUCCACGUAGGAAAACCAUGCAUAUGGCCCCAAUUCAACAGCUGUGUUUGAAUAUUAGUCAACAGUUUUGAGCACAGUACUAGCUUGGUAUGUUUUGCAUCUCUGAGUUUAACGGAGAGGGUGGUCUAUUCCGUUGAAAACAAUACAUAGACUAAUUUAUUGUCAUGUUGAUGGGAAUGGAGUGGACCAAGAAUCAUUUAUUUGGAGAUAUAUAUAAAUUCAAGUGCUAUAUGCUUAAUCCAAUUUGUGGGCUAAUAAGUAAAAAAUUAGUCAAAUUGAAAAUCGAUAAUUCAUUUAAUUAUUAUCAUGAAUGUUUUUUCAUUAUUUAUAGGAAGUAUUGUGUUCGUCUAUUAUAUUUUAUCGCAAUUAGAUGCCGGAAUAUUUUCAAAUUUAGUAACUUUUUAUAAGGAUGAUUUUUAAUUCAUGACCUGAAAAAUGAACGAUUCAUAUCAUUUUAAUGAUAUUGUUAAAUUGACCUAAACGAUUGAUCAGCAUUGUAUUAAAUUUUUUUUUUUUUUAGAUAUCUAACAACUACAUAUUAUGUGGUGUUAUAUCAGAAGUGGAGGAUUCGGUGGUGACACCCUAGCUAGGUAAAGAUAUUCAAUUCGUUAUAGUGUGGCUAUUCCGAAAGCAAUAUCUUGCAACUAAAGAAUAAAUUCAUAUUAUAUGUCAUCUUUUAUAAUUUAAAUCAAAAUUAAAAAGUAACAGGUUUUAUCAUAUGAUAAUUAAACGUGGGACUCAUAUUUCUUCUUUGAAGUGGAUAUAACUCAUUUCAUCAAAUUAAUGCAGAAAAAAAUUGCUUCCUCACUUGAAUAUAUGGGUUGGAAAAGCAUUGUGGAGAUUUCAGGGCAACUAAAUGGUCCAAGUCUCUCGUUGUUUCAGCAUGUGUACAACAAUAAGUAGACAAGUACCCUCUCAUGCAGUAUAAACACUUGUGUUUGAAGUUUUGAGCACAAUAAGUGGACUCUUCUACACCAUUUGGACUAGUUUAUUGUCAUAUAUGCUCAACCACAAUAAUUCAAAAUACACCAUUAUAUAUGAAUAUAUCUUAAGAGUCUCAAUUGUAACAUGUACUGAACGUUUGAUGAAUUAUUGCCAUCUAAUUAAUACUUUACAUUGAAAUUUAUUGAACUCAAACCAGUUUUUUAAUUAACUAGUACUAUCUACUUAACACACGACAAUACCAUAACAAUCUUAUUAAUUAUAAGAACACUCGAAGACUCUUCUCAUAAGUGAGCAGUAUAAUCCUUGCAGACACAAUUGCUUUUUCAGCGUAGAGGUCUGUUCAUUAUAUUCUCCUUCAACUCGAAGUGCUGGCAAAAGGAUUAGGAGGCAUGGCGAGAUUCUCACCUUCUCUUUCCAACAUUUGAACUACAACUUUCAUUGAAGGACGAUCUAUUGGAUGCCACUGGAUGCACCAUAGACCCACAAUUGCAAGUUUCCUAGCAAUUGUUACAUCUACUUCGUCGUCACCGAUAUGGAUUCGUAGGUCGUUGCGUUGCUCUAAAAGGUUAUAGAUCCAUUCUGGGAAGUAGACUUGGCUAGUGGAGUCCUCCAUGACUUUAAAGUUUUUUCUGGCCCCAACCAUUUCAAGCAACAAUAUUCCAAAACUAUAGACAUCUGACUUAUAAGAGACAUUGCCGAAGUUCCUUGAGAAGAUUUCAGGUGCAAUGUAGCCCAUGGUCCCCCUAGCUGUAGUCAUCGAUAUUGCACUUUGAUCCUUAGCACAAAACUUGGCUAAACCGAAAUCAGAAACCUUUGGAGUGAAAUCUUGGUCUAGCAAUACAUUAUGUGGUUUGAUAUCGAAGUGCAGGAUUCGUUGGUCGCAUCCUUGGUGAAGAUAUUCAAUUCCUUUAGCUAUUCCUAGAGCGAUAUCUUGCAACUUUUCCCAACCAAUGAAUGAAUUCUUAUUGUCUGCUGAUGAUAAGAAAUUUUGCAAGGAACCAUUUGGUAAGUAUUCGUAAACAAGAGCACGAAUAAAUCCGUCAGCACAAACUCCAACCAAGCGAACCACAUUGAGAUGGUGGAUCUGACACAUUGUCCCCACUUCGUUUAUGAAAUCUUCCCCAUUUUCAUUUGAAUUGUUGAGGAUUUUCACAGCAACAAGUAACUCAGAGGAAAGCAUUCCUUUGAACACUGUUCCGUAGGCACCUUGACCCAACUUUUCCUUGAAUUGACUUGUUAUCCUCUUAAUAUCAGCAUAGGAGUAUCUACUUGGCUUCAUCGCUCUGUAUUCAUCCAAAAAUCUUUCAAUUCUAAGCUGAUUUUCAUUUUCCUUUUUGUUUGAGUUGUAGACAUAGCAGAUUGUCGUUCCCGUCGCUAUUAGAACUAAACACAGUGCGCAAAUACCUGCAAAUAUUUUCUUUUUGUGUCAAACGUUUUUUAAAGGGUUUUUAGCCAUUUUAAACUCUGUUCCAAACAUACCCUUGAUUAAUUUCCUCACCAUUAUGUUCAUAAAAGAAAGAAAAAGGAAGAAGAAAAAAAAAGAAAUUAGAUGAAAUGAAGGUCUGCUGAUAUAGCUCACCUAAUAUCUUCAGAUUUGUCCUUCUAAGAUUACGACCUGUAAAAGUUGUUCAUGAAAUAAGGGCCGGUUUUCAAAUCAAUGAAAUCCAAAAUUAUAGUUUGCGUAUAGAAUCUUUUGAAUCUUGAAAUAAUCUUGAAAUUAUAGUUGGAAAGUAAACUUGGAGUGUAAAAUACCUUUGCAAUGUUCACAUGAUGGAAUGGACCAAUGCAAUAACAAAAAUGGUCCUUGGUACAAUGCAAUGUUCUCAUGAGAUAUAUAUGCAGGAUCUGAUGGGUAGUCAUGCACCUUGGUACAAGACACUAGGGGCAUGUCAGCAAUGGAACAAGAAUAAUCAAUGACAGCGUAAAUACGGUUACCAGAAUUGUUGCCAUGGCAUGGGCUCAAUCUUGUCAGACAACAAUAACGAUUGGAACAAUAUUCAUCUCUUACUGUUGACGGUGGACAACUGAAUAAGGUUGCCCGGCCUACCAAUUCAAGGGGAUAAGAACCAUCACUGUAAAACAACUCCCUUGGCAAGCAACGAAAACGAACAUAGGCUGGUUGUGUUCCACUAAUUGUAUGAGAUGUGUAGUUAAUCGCAUCAACAAAGACCUUAGCUGACGACGAUGGUAACUCAAGCAUAGUCUGGUUGAAGUCAGUGCAUGAAACAUCAAAUCCCCGGCAGCCGCAAUGGAUUGGCUGCCUACCUUUAAGGCGAAAUGGGUAUCGGAUGGCUGGUUCUCUCGGGCCACAUCUUGUUUCUCUGCAAUCUUCAUGGCCUACUCCACCAUUGAGUGCAUCUACUACUAUUACGACUAUCAUGAGCAACCACCGUGAGAAAUUCAUGAUGGCAAUAAAUUAUUUGCAGAGUACAAGUAUCCUUGAAGAUGAUACGAUAUGAUAUAUGGACUUGGGUUUCCUUUUUUCUUUUCGUUGUGUGGAUUACUUGAGAUGACAUGGGCCCCACUCCUUCUGGAUGUUUUAGUCAAUGCCCGACGUGUACGGUGAUCUCUUAAUUUUUAUCUGAUUAUGCACCCAAAAAAAAACAAAACCAAAAACCAAAAAAAAAAAAAAAAACUUUAUAUUAUCUCUUUAAAGAGUUAAAACUUCACUAAAUUGGAAAUAUCCCUUGUGCUCUGGCAGCAUGUCUGGAGGAAGUCUCCUGUUUGCUGCUUACACAGUUCUCCUUCUUCUUCUUCUUCUUCAUGUUCCUUCCUCUUGUUCCCACACAGCUUCCAAUGAUAACUCUGAUUGUACCCGUUCUUGUGGAAAUAUUAACAUAAGCUCUCCAUUCCGAUUGAAAGGAGACUCUAAACACUGCGGCGUCAGCGACAAAAGCUACGAGCUAUCUUGUGAGGCCAAGGGAAAUGGUACUACUCAUCAUGCAGUGCUAUACUUGUUAUCAGGAAAGUAUUAUGUACAAGCAAUCAAUUACAAUAACUUCGCAAUCCGACUUGUGGAUGCUGGCGUUCACAAGAUCAAGGACAACUACUUCUCCCACCCACUCUACUCCUUGACCUCCUUCAACUUUUCUUAUUACUCCGAUUAUACAGGUCCUUAUUAUUGGAACCUAAGAGGAUCAAUGUCUAUAAUCUUCCUGAGCUGUGAAAAUCCAAUGAAUCCUUCCGAUCUCAUUGUUGAAACAGCUCCAUGCAUCAGUGGGGUCAACAACUAUUCUUCUUCCAAUUCUUCUUUCUCCAAUUUAACAACAUAUUCUUAUUUCAUAAAAUCCAAUUUAACAACAUACGACUUGGGGGAUUCCUGCAAAAUAACACUAAUGGUUAUGGUGUCCCCUUCAACUGAGGAGCACAUGACGUCUUGCAAAGGAAUAUAUAAUGAAAUAGCGCAUGGCUUUGAACUCUCAUGGGAACCUUGCAGUCCGAACAGCACCGCCAUUGCAGUUUCAUGCUCGCCAGAAGGUUAGACAAUUGCCAAACCUUUAAAUUAUAAAUUAUAUAUUAAAGAUGGCUUAUUUACUAUAGUAGCCUCUGAAACUAUGUCAAAUAUCAGUUUUACCCCUGGAAGUUAAACUGUAAUUUCCAACCGUUACUAAGCUAAUGUUACAGUUUUCUUUUCGAUGUAGCACCCUGGCUCAUGAAGAUAAUAAUAUUACAGUUUUCUUUUCAAAAUUUGUGUGUAUAAUUUAUGUUGGUCUAACCAGAAUUCUCUUUAUGCUUAUGUUACUGUCUUCUUUCGCAAUGUAGCACCCUGGUCAAGAGAAAUCCCUUGGUACAACGAGAUCAUAAUGCUCAUAAUCGAGAAAGUAGGCGAGUGGAUCCCUCAACUUUGUAAAUAGACGUUUACUUUUCUUUGGCCUUUUCGCUUGACUAACCACCUUAGUCAUUCCAUUGAUCGAUUGAUUUCUUUACUUCUGUUGCAGGAUACCGUAUUCACCCCAUAUAUGCGUUCUUAGGCUUUGACAGGCUUUUCUCUAUGGGUGGUUACAGAUUAUACCUUGGCCAGCUUCUGGGAUGUGCAGUCGCUCCCCUAGGUAAGAGAAUACUUGUGUGGAUCACUGGAACAUUAAUAUUCUUAUUUUGAUUGAGAUGGAUUUGCAAAGGGAGUAUAUUAUUAUUAUUAUUAUUAUUAUUAUUAUCAUUAUUAUACUUCGUGUUCAUUAAUUCCAUUUUUGUGAAACAUGCAGUACUAUACUUAGCAGCCAAAUUUACAAUUGGUUUUCCCUUUGUAACUGCACUGCUAAUAUAUAAAUGGCGAAGGAGGCACUUGUCAAUGUAUGAGAAUAUAGAAGACUUUCUACAGAGUAAUAAUAAUCUCAUGCCAAUAAGGUACUCUUACUCGGACAUCAAAAAGAUGGCAAGAGGUUUCAAGGACAAAUUGGGUGAAGGAGGCUAUGGCUCUGUAUACAAGGCAAAGCUCCGCAGCGGUCACCUUGUAGCCAUCAAGAUGUUAGGCAAGUCCAAAACUAAUAACGGCCAAGACUUUAUCAAUGAGGUUGCUACCAUUGGAAGGAUUCGUCAUGUUAACGUGGUGCGACUUAUUGGCUUCUGUGUUGAAGGUUCAAAACGUGCUCUUCUAUAUGAUUUCAUGUCUAAUGGGUCUCUUGAGAAAUACAUUUUUUCUCAACAAGGAGAUGUGUCUUUAAGUUGCCAUAAAAUAUUUGAAAUCGCACUUGGAGUGGCUCGUGGUAUUGAUUACCUCCAUCAAGGCUGUGACAUGCAAAUUUUGCACUUUGACAUCAAGCCUCACAACAUUCUUCUAAACGAGAAUUUUACUCCCAAGGUCUCUGAUUUUGGGUUAGCAAAGCUAUACCCAUUGGAUAAUAGCAUUGUAUCUUUGACUGCAGCAAGAGGAACCAUGGGAUACAUUGCUCCAGAACUGUUCUACAAAAACAUUGGAGGUGUUUCGUACAAAGCUGAUGUGUAUAGUUUCGGAAUGCUAUUGAUGGAAAUGGCUGGUAGAAGGAAAAACCUGAAUGCGGGUAUAGAACAAUCAAGCCAAUUUAGCCAAAUCUACUUUCCGACAUGGGUUUCUGAUCAGUUGAAGGCAGGAAAGGACAUAGAAAUAGGAGAUGAUGCAACAGAUGAGGAAAAGAAGAUCAUAAAGAAGAUGAUGAUGGUGGCUUUAUGGUGCAUACAAAUGAAGCCUAUCGAACGCCCUUCAAUGAAUAAAGUAGUGGAGAUGCUUGAAGGAGAAAUUGAGACCCUCCAAAUGCCUCCAAGGCCUUUCUUAUACCCACAACAAAUUCCUGCAGAUGAAGUUGGUGUGGACAAUCGAAGUCCCUGUGCAUCAAGUGCUUCAGAAUCUGAAGAGAUUACUUUGAUUGCGAAUGCAAAUUAAGUGAAUUAAUAUUAGUCACGAUGUGGAUCUAUGUAAGGGAAAGUUAGCAGCUCUACUCUGUAUUUGAUCAUAGCACAAAUAUGUUUACAUGUUGUAAUUGAUUUAAGCAAAUAAUCAGCCUCUGGCUUUGGUUAUUGUUUGAGAAACUGCCUGCCAGAAAUGCAAUGACUUGAACUUUGAUGACAAAUAGGUUUACCCAAAUGAAUUGCCCCAGAGAAACAAUUCAUUUGUAUAUGGAUAUGUUAUCGAGUGGGCUUAUUAUGCUUGAAUCAAGGGUUCAAAAUUAAACAAGACCCUAUACGUCAAAUAAUCUCCAUAUCUGAAUUAGAAUCCAGUUCUACCGACAAUGACUAAACCAUAUGUAAGAGUUUACAGACUCAGAGCAAAGCUACAGACUUGGAUUUGGACCAAAGUGAAACUCAAACUCAAACUCAAAAACCUUAGUGCAAGUCCCUAACCUCCUUAAUUUCUAGGGCUGAAAUCUGAUGCAACUCUGAUGUGGAAAUACCAUACCCCUUUUGUGAACUAGAGCUUAAUGGAGCCAGCAAUUUGGGCUAAAAGAUUGAAAAGUGCAAACUACACGACUGAACCACAGACAGGAACAAAGAAAAAGCUUAAAAAACAUUAGCCUAAGCUGCACAAUCCACGUUGGCCGACCGUGGAGACCUUCCAAAGGGAAGUGCCAGUUUCACUAAAUUCUAAAUUCUUAACAUAGGAAUAUGGCAGACAAACUUGAUUAACAAAUAAAUUAAAAGAAAAAAACUGCAACUAAACCAAUCUGAUAAGUGGUAGAGUGGUAUAAUCUUCUCUUCUGACAUAGAUAACACACAUCACAGAAGUAGAAGACAUUGCUGUUAAAACUAAAAGUUACACACAUUCUAUACACAACUCUGUUAUUAGAUCAUUGAUCCCAUCCUCAACCCUAAAAAAAGCUCUUGAUUUUUGAACAUAUAUCCCAACCAUCUUCAAAUCCACUAGGAUCGGCAAAGCCUAUAGAUGUUCUAAACAACCACUCAUAAGGUGGAUUCAACGAGGUUAAUAACCAAAGCCAAAACAAGCAUGAGACAGAUUUUCUAAGCAACUACUCUGUUUCUUUCUAAAUAAUGUUGCCUCCAUCCAUUUUCAAAUCCUCUAGGAUAAGCAACCCUCCAUCAAUAAACACCGAGAGC